CGUAACCUUUUAUAAACCUCCUGUAGUAGCCUGUAAGACCUAGGAAGCUGCGCAAUUCUUUAAUCGAUUGCGGUAUAGGCCAUGAAGCUAUACACUCAAUCUUAGUAGAGUCCAUAGCCAUAGUACGAUCAUGCAGGACAUGCCCCAAAUAAUGAAUUUGAGAGGAGCCAAAAUAGUAUUUCAUUUUCUUAGCGUACAGCUGAUGCUCUCGAAGUGUAAGAAGCACUGAUCUCAAAUGUUGUAGAUGUUCAGGCCAUGAUGUUGAAUACACAAUGAUAUCAUCGAAGAAAACUAACACAAACCUCCUCAGCCACGGUUUAAAAAUAGAGUUCAUGAGAGCUUGGAAACUGGAUGGAGCAUUUGUAAGACCGAAUGGCAUUACGAGAAAUUUGUAGUGCCCAUCAUAUGUUCGAAACGCAGUCUUGUGCAUGUCCGGUUCCCACAUGCGAAUUGAUGAUAACCUGCUCGUAAAUUCAGCUUAGAAAAUACUAUUGCUUCCCCUAACUCAUCCAAUAGUUCCUCGAUGACAGGAAUGAGAAAUUUAUCCUUAAUCGUAUACUGAUUCAGUUGCCGAUAGUCUAUGCAUAACCUCCAACUUCCGUCCUUCUUCUUAACCAUGACAAUGUGAGACGCGAAUGAACUUGUACUAUCGCGAAUUGUCCCAGCUUGGAGCAUUUCCCUAAUAAGUCUCUCUAUUUUCGUUUUCUGAAAAGCUGGAUAUCGAUAGGGGCGCAUUUUAAUCACAGCAUCCUCAUCCUUAAAAGGAAUUUUGUGGUCGUGUACCCUUCGAGGAGGCAAACCUUUUGGAAUCUAAAAGACAUCCUCAAACUCUCUCAACAGUGUUUGGAGUUGAUUCUCAGAUGCCUCGACCCCCGUGGAAGAAAGCAUAACUUGUUCUGGCAAACUCAAAACUGUUGCAUAAGGUCCCAACGAUUGCCCCACCAACGCAAGACACAUUGAAUCCAUCUCUUGGGCUGCCAGUGCACCAGGAAUAAUGCCUUGAAUAAUACAAGUUUGCUCUCUUAACUGGAAUUGCAUCAUUAAAGAACCAAAAUUCCAUAUAAUGUCUUCUAAAGCCAGCAGCCACUGUACCCCCAAGACCAUGUCACACUCUUUCAAUGACAGCACUAAGAAAUCAAUUUCGAACUUGUGAUCCUGAACCUCCCAUAUAACGUCCUUGCACAACCCUCGCGUGAACAAGCAGCUGCCAUUCGCCACUGAAACUUUAAGUUGUUCUUGGUCGGUCACAGGUAACAACAAUCUAUUAACUAAUCUAGUAUCAAUAAAAUUGUGGGUACUUUUGGAAUCAACCAAGAUGAUAGCCAUACAUGAACCAACUCAGGCAACCACCCUAAUAGUGUUAUGUUCCUGUAGUCCCGUCAAGGCAUGCAACGAAAUAAUAGGAGAUUUGGAACUUUCUUCUUCUAUUCCACUCUCCUCUAAUUUCUCGGAACAUUCUAAAAAUUCCUCUGCCUCACUAUCCGAAACUGGAUAUAGUAGAAAUUGAUACAACUGAGACUUUACACAUUUAUGCCCCACAUGGUAUUUAGCCCCACACCAAAAACAGAGGCCCUUCUGUUUUCUUUCAGCCAUCAACGUUGGAGAUAUAGUACGAGACCCACCUUAGCUGGAGGGCAUAUUGUUGGUAUAUUGUGUUCUCGUCACAGUCCUCGCAGGUGAAAGAGAAUAUCUAGAAACGGUUAACGUGGUGGUUAAAGUUCUAGGUGAACUAGCCCCCCAAGUUGUGUGCCCAUUGCUUGAGUGUGAAAUCAGCACUUCUAUUUUCCUGGCUAACUGAAAGGCUUCCAUUAAAGGAGGAGGUUCGAACAGGUCUAGGUAGUGACCUAUUUCAGCCUUCAGAUUGCUAAUAAAAAUAAUAAGAGCAUAAUUUUCAGGUAGGUGCAAUUGGUUAAAUAAUCCCACAAACAUAUCCUGGUAUUGCUCGAUCGUACCUUGCUGCUUCAGAUUGACCAACUCUCUCAUCGGAUUCCCAAACUGCCCGAACCCGAAUCGAUCUUGUAAACUUUUCAAGUAUGCCAACCAUGACAGCAUGUGCAGACCCCCAUUUCGUUGAGAAUAAAAAUGAUGCCACUCCAACGCCCUUCCUUCCAGAUUCAUCAUUACCACACGAACCUUACUCGCAUCCGGAGUACCCUCCGCCUCGAAGUAUUGCUCCAGUUUGGUCCACCAACCUCUGAAAUCGGUACCAUCAAACUUUGGGCAAUCCAACUUGCUACCCUUCAUCAAAGCGUCCGAUACUAAAGAUUGCUCCCUCACGUGAGCGCUUCUUCCUUCCAUAGCAAAUGGGUCGACCUGAGUGUGUGGCAGUUCGGGGUCCUUAGAAGAAAACCCCGGAGGAGCCCCUAACACCCCCUUCCCUUUGUCUACUGUAACAUUCGUUGGUGAGCUCUUCGGUGGAGGUCCAAAGUACAGACCCAAUACGGCUUGCAAAUCACCUCGAAACUCCUCUUUAAACUCCUUCAAACGAGUUUCCAUUUUCGUCUCCAAAUGACCAAUUUCUUCCUGGAUCUUAGAAAUUUCUUGUUGCAUGCUUACUACCUCUUUCUGUAAGCGGGUCGACACACCAUCGCCAGCCAUUGAAAGGAUCAACUGAGCUCUGAUACCUUUGAUAAGAACUGAAGUCGAGCAGAAAAUUUGAAGAAAAGAAAAGGAAGAAAAGGGAGAAAGAAAAGAGAAAAUAGAUAACAAUUUUCUUCUGUAAUUCGAUAACCUCCUUUCCAUACAGCACAUGCAUAUUUCAAGGAAAAGAAAACAUAACAAACAGUGACGUGGCAUCUUUCAGUUAACACCAAAAUGCACCGUCCAAUUAAAAUUUAAAACUUACCGUUAACUAAUACCCAAAACUCCCCGUUCUCAGUAACUAAAUCAAUUUUAGCUAAUUCUUUUUUUCCCUGCUAUUAUUCUACCCCGUACCAUCAUCCUCGCUUUACACAUUUUGCAAUUUCAAAUAUACGCAGAAAUUGCAACUUUCGUGGCCCAUCAAUUCUUUUUUUCGUGGCCUGGUUAUCUGGAUUGAAGGGGAAUUUUGAUGUGCUAUUCCCUAUGGCCAAUUCAAGAAUGGCUACACUUUUUCAAUGGUAGAAGAAAUGGCGCUGUUACUUUCGCCUCUUUUUUGGAAGCUCUGUCCCCUCUCCAAAGGUUCUCAUUUUCAACCCCUCUUUUACUUUUUUUUAUUUGUGUAAUUUACAAGGUUCAACAUGGAUGGCGUGUUGCAUUUUAUGCUGUUGUUCAAAUUUUGACUAGCCUUGGUUUUUCUCCCCUGUAUUCUUUGUUUCCAAUCAAGUAGGAAGUCUGGUCCUUCGGCAAUUAGGUAUCAAAUGCCAGAGGAUCCAGCGAAGAUCAUUACAAGUUCAGUACCCCCUUUUUAUUCUGUUAAAAUCAAGGAAGCAGGUAUCUGUUCAUAACUUCUCCGGAAUUCAUGGGUAUUUAGUGCAAAAUGGCAUUUGCUGGUGCAGGUGCUGCACCGUCGAGAGUUACAAUGCCCAAAGUAGGUCGCACUGAAUUCAUAUUUGUGUAACUAAAAAUAUCCUCUAUUUCACAUAAACAUCAAAUGUCUUUCCGCAAAAAUUUAAGCAUAGCUACAAUUGUUUAUAUUAACAACUACAUGUUAAUGUUUAAUUACUAUUGCGCCCGCUUUUACAAGAGCUUAAGCAAUGUAAUAUUUUGAGAUAAUAAUUGUAUACUGACUAAAAUGAAGACUACUCUCUCAAAUCAUCAAGAACGCAUGCUGACACUGAAAAGCUAAUGCUUGUUUUGCUGCGCAGGAUUUCAUUUAGCGAUCAUGAUUUAAAUGCUGCCAAUGAUCUGGAAUACAGCCACUGAGAAUCGUAAGUUGUAAUGUUGGACUAUUGGUUAUAUACAAGAUAUAUGUCCUGACAGGAUUGUAGCUAUCCAAAAAGGUAUACUAUUUUCUUAUUGCAAUAUGUAACUCCAGCAUACUAUUAGGAUUCUUUUUUCUUGAUGUUAUGAACUAAAUAUAUAGUUCUCUUCAAUUUUUUCUUCCAUCGUUUACUUUUCCAGAAUUAUCUGUUUUUGACAUGCUUAUUAAUGAUGAAUCAGAAGUGGGUUCAGAAAGAAGUCUGGUUCAUGAAGCUCAUGUUGCAUUUUCAGUUGAAGGUAUGAUACAUUAACAAUUGAGGGAGUCAUUAAGGCAAUAGGUCAUACAGAAGUCGAUUUUCCAAAGAAAACUAAAGGCAAACUUACAUGAACAACUGUUUUUCAUGAAGUUUCCUCUUUCUAUUUGAAAUUUAUCGCUGUUUGAAACGAAGAGUUAAUUUUACGAUUGCUUGUAAGCCAAAUAUUGAACACUGUAGGAAUCACCAGAAGAUAAGUGGAUAACUUCUAAAUAGAAUAGUAGCAAAGAAAGUGGCUAGUGUCUAGAGUAGGAAUUACAGUUACCUUACCCAUUUAGGCUCUAAUUAACCUGCUAGUGCAUCACUAAUGAAGGUAUCUCAACUCUGAUUAAUUACUUGUUUUCUAUGUUAUCAAGAUACUGAUUCAAAUUUCAACAUCCUAAUAACAUAGUAUUACCCAAAUUUAUUCUGGUUUAUCAGGUUUAGGUAAGAUCAGAACAGAGACUCCAUUGCACUCACCAAAGCAAGAGGGCAGGUAAAGGAUAAUCUGCAAGAUCUCUCAUAUUCCCUAUUCACUCGCUAGAUACUUGUCCUAAUAACUGUUAGUUUUAGUUUCCUAAACUACUUUCUGUGUCAUAUUGUUUCCAUGAACUGCAUACUUCAUGAAUCUAUUUUCCAUUUAAAAUGGUACUUCUAUUUGCAAGCAGCAAUUAAUUGAUUCUCUAAAUUCAAAUUUGUGGUUUACCUACAUCAUAAAAGAAGGGAAUAUGAGAUUUCCAAAGAAAAUAAAUAUGUUUAUCACCAACCUGGAAUUCUUUUUGAUAGGCAUGAUAUGAUGUGUAAGAAAAUCUGGUUACACUCCAAAGUUAAUUGUUUAUUGAGGUAUGGACUGGUAAAGUGCAAUAUCACUUAUAUAACUGAUAUGACACAUUUAACUGGUGUAAGAUGUAUUUGAGGUGUGCCUGAGAAUAAUCCUUCUAUCAUUCUUACAAAUUUUUAUUUUUUCCCCUGAAAAGGUGUCAUUGAUAAACUUCCUAGGAAGAUUCCUUUAUUUCAUUUGGCCCUCUAAGCAGUAACCCUCUAAGAAGUAAAUAGUUAAGUUCCUUUCUUGGCAUGAAGUCAAACAGUUUGAAGUUUUUGUACAAACCACUCAAGAGUGAAAAGUACUGAGAGAUUUGUAGUCUUCAGUUCUCAUUUCUUAAUAUUUUCUAUUCUUUUUUAUCUUCUCGUGGACAAUGUUCAACUUACUUUGGUCUAUCACACAACUUAUAUAUUUUAGAUUCUAUGAGACUGACACAUUCUUCAGCAGCUGAGUGCUAAUUUUUUGUUUGAACAAAGUUUAUAUGAUGUAUUUCCUGAUAAACUAAAAGUUAUAGAAUUAAGGAAUGGUCAAAUUUUAUCUAAACAGAUCUUAACUUUAUGCUAUUGUAGAAUCUCUUCUGAUGAUUGCUCAUUACCCUGGAACUUUUCAAGGCAACUAAACUCAUUGAAGGGUUCUAACUUUGUGCUAAAUGAUAUUGAACUAGAAGUGGUGAGAGAACUAAUUGAUACUCAGUUUCUUAUUUCUAUGUUUGCUCUAAAUUAAUCUUUUCCUUGAAAAAUAACCUUCACAUUAAACCUCUUUCUUUUACAACAUUAGCCUCCCAAGAAUAUCAUGUUUGUGAUUAUGCAUCUAAAUGUUGUUUAACCUUAAAUGAUGGAAUUGGACUAUCAAAUGAAAUGCUCGUUUUUUUCUUCAUUUGCUUCUUUUUGCAAAUUGAAUGUAUUAUAUUCUCCUUAAACAUUAAACUCAAGUUUCUUGUCUUAACUUUGGUGGAGAAGGAUUAUUCUUAUCAUGUGCUAAAUGCAGAAUGCUAUGAUGCAGGACAUGGAUGUUCCACUUGGUGGCAAUCCUUUGCAGUUCUCAGUCGAUAUAACUGAUUCACAUGGCAAUUGGAAGCCAAACCUCUCCACUUUUUCUGAUGACAUGCAACUUGACAGCCAUUACAGAAAUAGCAAGUGCUCUUUUGGUGACACUGACAUUUCCUACAACAUAGGAAGGGAAGAUAUAUGGGAUGGUGAGUCUCAGCUUUAGUUGGUGUUGGUUGUUUUUUUCAUGAAUCACAAUUCUUAUUGUUCAUUUUACACAUUGCACCAACUUGUGAUUAAGAUAUUCAGAAAUUCUUUUGCCUAUCUUCAUUUAUUGUUUCAAACAUAGAUUUUAUGUUAGUCAUAUGUAUCUCCUUCAUCAAGUCUGUUUGACUUAAUCAUAAUAAUGGGAAUAUCUCUUGCAGCAGACUAUCAUUCUUGUUCUCUGUGUCAGUAAGUACUAUUUUGAACUAGUUCUUUUUCUCACAAGCUUUUCUCAAAUUUAGACAGCAUUAUACUGUGGAAGGCUUCUCUGGUGCAACAUGUCAUUUUUUUUUUGCUUAUAUGUUUGUCAGCUAAAGUUAAUUACUUGAAUGAUGGCUUUCCCCAUGAAAGGGAAGAUGACAUUUCAAAAUAGAUGGUAAUUCUGGAGAUUUUUUGGAUUAUGAAAAUGGUGAGAUGCCAGAUAAUGCUUUUGAAGGGCAUCACAUGCUGAGGAAAAGUUUAGCAAUCAACAGUGAAUAUUUCCUUGUUCUGAGAGAUAGGAGUUGUUGGAAUCCCUAUAAUUAAGGAUAGAAAUCUGAUGGUAUUAGAAUCCCUAUAAUUAAGGAUAGAAAUCUGUUGUGAUCUCUUGUAAAUAGAAACUAAUCUCAGUUACUGAUUCUUAGGAAAUUAGGAUAUCAAUUACUGAUUCUUAGGGAUUAGGAUUUAUUUCCUUUAAAAUGAUUAUUUUUCUCUUUAUAAAGCUGUAAACUAAAGCAGUAGCAAUAUAACAGAAUUUUUCCUCUGAGUGUUUUUACAUGGUAUCAGAGCUAUAGGAUUCAUUCGGUCCUAUUUUUUUCUCUAAAUUCCCUUACUAAAAAUUUCUGUGGUUUAGUCCUCCUAUGGGUGAUAUCAAUGAGAAUUUCUCUGAAACUGAGACAUCACAAAUAACUCAGAAUAUCAAUCAGGGAAUCACUCAAGGUGAAAUUAAUUCCUCCAUUAUAAUCACCAAUCAUCGGCUAAAUGGGAAGAACUUCUUGCAAUGGUCUCAAUCGGUUCUUAUGGUGAUUCGUGGUCGUGGCAAAUUAGGGUACAUCAAUGGAGAAAUCCCACGACCAACCAUGGCUGAUCCUACUUAUGCCACUUGGGAACUCAACAAUUCAAUUGUAAUGGCUUGGCUAAUCAAUUCGAUGGAAGGCCAUAUAAGCCGCACCUAUCUUUUUUUCAAAACUGCAAAAGACAUGUGGGAUGCAGUCAAAGAAAACUACUCAGAUCUUGAAAACGCCUCCCAAGUAUUUGAAAUCAAGCUUAAGUUAAAGGACAUCCGACAAGGAACACUCGAGGUAACUCACUACUAUAACAAUUUGAAAAUUUUGUGGCAAGAACUUGAUAUGUAUUAUGAGGAAGAUUGGGGUGAAGGCUUAGAACACAAUAGGUUUAUGGUCCAUCUCAACAAUGAACGUCUUUAUGAGUUUUUAGCAGGACUGAACCGUGAGUUAGAUGAGGUCCGUGGCUGAAUUCUGGGUAGAUCACCUCUUCCAACGAUCGGUGAAGCAUUUGCAGAAGUUAGAAGAGAAGAAAAGCGUCGUCUUGUCAUGAUGGGAGAUUCAAAGGAACCUAAACCUAUGACUCCAAUUUCUAAUCGUCCUACUGAAACCUCUGCUCUCAUCUCCAAAGGUCCACAGCCACAAAAACAAUGUGCUGGAAAUGAUUCUGGAUCAACAAGACCAUGAUGUAGUCACUGCAAUCGUGUUGGUCAUACAAAAGAAAAAUGCUUCAAACUCCAUGGCUAUCCUGAAAAAAACAGAAGGAUAAUAAGACUGCCAUGUUAUCCUCCACUACUGCUGAUGAUGUUCUUGAUGUUCGCUUAACCAAAACACAGCUUGAAACUCUCCAUAAGAUACUUGCUACUCCCACUACUCAUGGAUCUCUAGCAACUUAAGGUACUGCCCUCAACAUUGCUUUUGAAUCUAAUAAUCAAUCUCCUUGGAUACUCGAUUCGGGCGCCUCUGGUCACAUGACAGGUGACUCCACGUUGUUUCACACCUACACUCCUUGUCAUAACAAAUCCCGAAUCCGCAUAGCUGACGGUUCUUACUCACCUGUGGCUGGAAUAGGAGAAGUACAAAUGACAUAGAAUUUUUCUCUCGAUAAAGUCCUACAUGUUCCAAACUUGUCCUGUAAUUUACUUUCAAUUAGUAAACUUUCUAAGGAUGAAAAAGUUCUUGCUGAAUUUUCUGCAAUUGGUUGUGUGAUACAGGAACAGAAAUCGGGGAGGAUGAUUGGCACUGCUAAAGUUGAUGAUGGACUAUAUAUUUGGAAUAAAAACAGUACACAAGGGGGAUUGGCUCUAUCCACUGCAAAAGAGGACACUAUUAUGUUAUGGCACCGUAGGUUAGGACAUCCAAACUUUGUGUUUUGAAAAAACAUCUUCCGCUGUUAUUUCGAAAUAAAAGUAUUAAUUCCUUGAAGUGUGAAAUUUUCCAAUUAUCUAAACAUACCCGUGUGCCAUACCCAUUAAAACCACAUAUUCAGUCCCAACCUUUUUCGUUAAUCCAUAGUGACCUAUGGGGAGCCAGCCGAGUGAAAAAUAUUACAGGGGCUAGAUGGUUUAUAACAUUCAUUGAUGAUCAUACUAGGGUCUGUUGGGUCUAUCUACUCAAAGAAAAAUCUGAAACACCCAAAGUAUUCCAAAAUUUUCACUCAAUGGUUCGAACCCAAUUCAACUCUACCAUACAUACCCUCCGUACUGACAAUGGGAAAGAAUACUUCAACUCUGUCUUAAGUCUAUACCUUUCUGACCAAGGCAUUAUACACCAAAGCUCUUGUCCUGACACUCCUCAACAAAACAGGAUCUCUGAGAGGAAAAAUCGUCAUCUUCUUGAUGUGGCUCGAGCCAUAAUGUUCACUAUGAAUGUUCCAAAAUACUUGUGGGGAGAAGCUGUCCUUACUGCCUGCUAUCUCAUAAACCGAAUGCCAUCAAAGAUCCUCAAUUUCCAAACACUUCUAAAUACUCUUUUAAAGGCCUUCCCUCUAUUUCAUGUCCCUAAUCUUCCAGCCAAAAUAUUCGGUUGUAAAGCUUUUGUCCAUAACCAUCAACCAAAUCAAUCCAAACUUGAUCCUCGAGCCCACACCUGUAUCUUCAUUGGAUAUUCCCCUACACAAAAAGGCUAUAAGUGUUACUCACCAACAUUGCGCCGAAUGUUUGUCUCUCGAGAUGUUACCUUCUUUGAAAAUGAACCAUACUUUGCAGCAUAUCAUCUUCAGGGGGAGAUUUUUAAUGAAGAUGAGACCCUUAAUACUCUCCUCAUUAUACCGCCUGAUCCUACUACUACUAUCCCAGAUUUAGUUGUUUCCCCUAUACAGCAAGAAUUUAACACCGUCCUUCCCAAUGACAAUACCUCCACCGAAGUACAACAGCCACUUGAUCAAGGAAAACAGCAAAUACAGGUUUACUCCCGACGGAAUCGUUCUCCUGAAACUGAUACAGCAGUGCCAAUUACAUCUCCAACCGAGGACUAUUCUGAAACAGAAGUCCCACCUCCGUCACCAUCCAUCUAUCUUCCAAUUGCAGUUCGAAAUGGUACAAGGAGCUGCACUCAACAUCCUAUUUCUCGGUUUGUAUCCUAUAAAAAUUUAUCUAAGUCUUACAAAGCUUUUGUGACUAAUGUUGAUUCUGUAAAAAUUUUAAAAAAUAUAGAAGAGGCUCUUGAAUCAGCUGAGUGGAGACAAGCCGUGAUGGAAGAAAUGAAGGCCCUCAAAAACAAUGAAAUAUGGGAAGUCUCGGAUCUGCCUAAAGGGAAAAAAACCGUAGGGUGUAAAUGGAUUUUCACUACGAAAUUUAAACCCGAUGGCCGUAUUGACCGAUACAAAGCUCGACUUGUGGCUAAGGGAUUCACCCAAACUUAUGGUCUCGACUACAACGAGACGUUUGCACCGGUUGCCAAGCUAAACACCGUUCAGGUCCUGCUAUCUCUUGCUGCCAACCUUGAUUGGCACUUGACUCAAUUGGAUGUAAAAAAUGCUUUUCUCAACGGGGAAUUAAAUGAGGAGGUGUAUAUGGAUUUCCCACCAGGGUUUGAAGAAAACAAGGACCAAGUGUGUAAGUUGAAGAAGUCCUUGUAUGGGCUGAAACAAUCUCCACGAGCGUGGUUCAGCCGAUUUGCAAAAGCUAUGACUAGCAGAAAUUACAUUCAAGGACAGGCAGACCACACCAUGUUCUACAAGCACUCGGAAGAGGGUAAAUGCUGCAUCCUUAUCGUUUAUGUUGACGAUAUAAUAAUAACAGGAAAUGACUCGAGCGAAAUUUUGAGAUUGAAAGAAUUUAUUGGUACAGAGUUUGAACUUAAAGACUUGGGAGUCUUAAAUAUUUUCUUGGUAUGGAGGUAGCAAGGUCGAAAAAAGGUAUCUUCAUUUCCCAAAGGAAAUAUGUUCUUGAUCUACUGUCGGAAGUUGGUUUGAUGGGCAGCAAACCAGCCGAAACUCCUAUGGAGUUUAACCUCAAAUUGGAAACUAAUGAGGAUGGAGAAGAAAUCGACAGGGGGAGAUAUCAACGUCUAGUAGGAAGGCUCAUCUACCUAUCUCACACCCGUCCAGACAUAGCCUUCAGUGUGAGUGUUAUUAGCCAGUAUAUGCAUGCCCCGAGGGAGAAGCACCUGGAAGCUGCAUAUAGAAUACUAAGAUACCUAAAAGGAACUCCUGGUAAAGGCCUAUACUUCAAGAAGACUAUCAACCGAAGCGUGGAAGUCUACACUGAUGCAGACUGGGCAGGUUCUGUUAAUGAUAGACGCUCUACAAGCGGCUAUUGUAGUUAUGUUUGGGGUAAUCUCGUGACGUGGAGGAGCAAAAAACAAUCUGUGGUAGCACGCAGCAGUGCAGAGGCAGAGUAUCGAGCACUAUCUCAUGGUAUAUGCGAAUGAGUUUGGAUACAAAGACUUACGGGAGAACUAAAAGUGCCUUUUACCAGACCUAUGAAGAUGUACUGUGACAACCAGGCUGCUGUCAGCAUAGCACAUAAUCCUGUGCAUCAUGAUCGGACCAAACAUGUGGAAAUAGAUCGUCACUUUAUAAAAGAAAAAGUACACUCAGGAGAAGUAUGCAUCAUCUACCUACCUACUAGACAACAAGUUGCAGACAUGUUAACCAAAAGUUUGAACAGAAACAUGUUUGAAGAACUUAGUGGCAAGCUGGGUUUGAUUAACAUCUACACUCCAACUUGAGGGGGAGUGUUGGAAUCCCUAUAAUUAAGGAUAGAAAUCUGAUGGUAUUGGAAUCCCUAUAAUUAAGGAUAGAAAUCUGUUGUGAUCUCUUGUAAAUAGAAACUAAUCUCAGUUACUGAUUCUUAGGAAAUUAGGAUAUCAAUUACUGAUUCUUAGGGAUUAGGAUUUAUUUCCUUUAAAAUGAUUAUUUUUCUCUUUAUAAAGUUGUAAACUAAAGCAGUAGCAAUAUAACAGAAUUUUUCCUCUGAGUGUUUUUACAGGAGUAUACCUUUUCUUUUUGAUGAAUUCAUUACAUCUAUGCAGGGAUGUCAAAGCAACAAAUUUGAAUAGUUUAGGUGCUAUUUCUCAUUCAAUUUAUGGAAUAGUUUAGCUCAACACUUCUUAUUUAAUAUUAACAGGACAAAUUAGUUUAUAAUUAUUGCUUUCUGCAGAUGCUAACUUUGAACACAAAUCAUUAUAUGGCGUCAUCCCUUUGUGUUUUAAGAAUUUGGAGUGCUCUACUUCACUUACUGAGAAUUUUCUGUGGGGGGAAUCUCCACAUUCUUGGGAUGAUUGUUGGCUCAAGUUAUCUCUAAGAGGGAGGUGUUAAAUGUGAAAGUGUGUGGUUGCUGUAUUUCUUUCAUGUUAUUAUUCUUUACUUGAUGUUUCUAUGAUGAGAAUUGUGAUUAAGAAUGUUUUCUAUCCACCUCUAAUUCUUUUUCUCUUUCCACAAUCAGAUCCUUCUCCAAAGCAUUUAUCAUCAAAAGUUGGUCAUGAUUUGACAACUUUAAUUGGGGAAAGGUAUGAAAUUUCCCUCCAAAGGUAUGAAAUUUCCCUCUAAAUAGAAAGGUUGCUUUGAUAUAGCGGCAGGUAUAACCCAAUUCAAACGAAUUAUGAUAUAAGAGAUUUGCCAGCCCAACCAUGUUGGCCUUUUUUUGAGACUGAAGAUGCAAAGGAUAGCUUGAGCUUGCUGAGGUAAAUUAUAGAAACUUUUUAUUGCAAGGUGAUUUAAUUGGAUGGUACUACUUUAACGUACAUGUUCUCUCUCUCUCUCUCUCUCUCUCAAGCUUUAGCAGUGAAGAAUCAUGCUCUUCUAGUGCAGGUUACGUUUGCUUUCAUAAAUUGCUUUGACAAUUCAUUGUCAUUUUGUAGUCUUUAACGAAAAGCUCCUCUUGUGAAACUAAAGCAACCUCUUUCGAAACUAAAGCAAUCAUUUAAAAUAUUUAAUUGCAGUGAGGGGUGAAACGAUAAACAGUUCACCUCCAAAUCUAAUGGCUAGGCAGAGCAGAAGAGUAAGUAGUCAUUUGGUAUGACCAGAAUGAAGUAUGAUCUGGACGAUGAUUUUGCCAAGGAAACACGUUGCAAAGACAGAGAUAAUCUUGGGCAACCAUCUGGAAAAUAUACGAGGACUCCAGUUCUGCACAAGUCAAGAGCAACCAAGCGUGCAAGCUAUUGUCUCCAAGGGGAAAUAGAACUAUCUCAGAAAUGGUUGCUUGAGGAAGGAUGCAAUUCAGUUGAUAUAGAUUUGGGUUUCAGUUCUUCCCAUUGCACCUCACAGGCAAACCUUCCAUCUGUAGGAUCCUGGCUGUGGGCUGAAGAUCCUAUUGGUGACUUUCCUGUUCCCGUACUGAAUCUUGAUGUCAAAUCUUGCUUUAAUACACCUAAGCAGAGUGAAUCUAUUCACUGUUCGCCUUUUAGCUGUUUCACCUCUGAGAAGUUUGCUUUUUGCCAAUCAUUGAAUCACACUAACUCUUUUGAUUCUCCAGUAUUCUGGAUCAAUCAGGCGUGUCCUAUCUCCAGAUUCAGGAAGACAAGUGUUCCUUUGGGUUUGUUUGAUGCUGGUCAGUAUAGAGAGAUUGGAUUUCUUGAUUUAUCAUCAGUACAAGGACGAAUUAAUGGAGACGAUAAAAGAAAACCAAAACCCCACCAGCAAACUGCGAACAGUUAGAAUUUGAAAUGGAAAAUUGCCUUCAAAAUGAUUUAUUAUUUUCAAAAGGAGCACAUAGUAAUGGGUGGUUCAAAUCCCAAUAGCAAGGAGGAUGAAUUCAAGGAAGUAAAAGAUGGAACUCUAGAAAAAAAGGGGAGCCUUGGUGUGGAAACAUCAUCAUCUGUUAAGAUCCAUGAGAAAGGAGAGAGCAAAAGGUAACUAUAACCUACUCAGAAUUCAUCUUUCCAAUUUGCCAUAACUUUUUUUCCUUGCCCUCUGUCAAGUAAGAUGCUGAGAUAAGGCUUUUCAUUGCUGCUAGAUAUGAGUGAUGUAGAAAUUCCACUUCCUUGUCAAAGCGAGACAGAACAGAAUGUAUAUCUUCUUUUAAUAUAUAUACAUAUAUGCAUAUUAAACUUUGAACUGCCAUUAGAUGUUUGCUUGAUGUUCUGGAUUCAUAUAUAACGUUUGAAUCAGAGCUCAAUGCAGGAACAGAAAUGAAAGGAUUCUAAGCAGGUGGGAAAGCUAGCUAUGUUGUUCAAUUUGUUUAGCCAGAGAAAGUUGCAAGGAAAGGAAACAUUUGAUUAUGCCUUGCCUUGUACAUUAUUAUAACUUGAAAAAUGUCUAACUAGAAUAAAUACUAAUAGAGUUGGAGAUUGGGUAACAGGGGAUGCUGAUUCUCUCUAAUCGAUACACUUUUAAGUAGCAGAAAAUGGUUAAGAGGCAACACUGUUUUUUUUGUUAACUGCCUAGAAUUCAACUAAGCUCUUUUGCAAUUGCUAUUGCUAAUCCCAGCAAGUACUCAAUCUGUCAAUGUGUAAUAGUUUAUCCCAUUAACAAAUAAAAGGAAAAAACUUUAGGAAUUCGGAGAGGAGGCAAUCGUCUCAGCCCCGCCACCGUCAUACCUUUCUUCCUCCAAUCAAUAACUAUUUUUGCUUUUUGGGGUUAAUUUUUAACGCUUCAAAUCAAAUAUUAAAAAGGUUUUUUCUUCUUCGUUAUUUAGCGAAGAAGAAAAAGAAAAGAAUGGGAGGUACUUCAAGGCAGUGUCAAGUUUGCAACCAAGCUUAAUCCAAGUACAAGUGCCCCUCUUGUCUUAUUCCUUAGUAAGUUCUUCAGCUCCCUUCCAUUCUUUUGCUGUUUUUAUUUCUGGGUUUUUAAUUUGUUUAUUUCCCUUUUUCAUUUUUUUCAGCUGUUCUCUAGCACGUUUCAAGACACACAAAGGUAUAACACCCAACAAUUCUUUUUUUUUCUCCCCCCCCCCCUUAAUUAUUCUAUUUUUAUCUUUAUUUCUUAAUUUCUGUUGAUAAAUAUUCGAAUUUUGCUUGAUCUUAUUGCUUUUGAUCAUUGGGAUUUUGUUGGCUUAAUGCUUUCUCAUCGACUUAUGUUCUAAACUUCUAAUAGUGGAGUUGAAUACGUGUUGGCUAAAAGAACUGAACCAAUGGUGAAUUGUCUCAAGUUUUUGUUGAAAAGAUUAAAAGGAAAUUUGGGUUUAUUGUCCUUUUUGACCUACUUGCACUUCGUAGUUAAAUUCAUAAGGUUACAUUGUUUUUGUGAUACUAGAAAUGGGGAACUAAUGUGCUUUAAUGAAUGAUGCAGAAACUCACUGCAUAAAGCCGGAAUCCGUAAAUGAAAAAUCCGGUUAGAACUUUCCCUCGACUGUAUGUUCCUUAAUCAACUCCACAUUUUUUCCUAAUCAAGCAUGCUUGUGUUUUAAAUACAUUUGAUGUUCUAAUGCUACAAAAUAUGCAGAUGCAGGCUAUUGGUAUAUAUUUUUUAAUCUAAUCGUAGCUUGGUUAUCUUUAGUAAAAACCUCCUUAAAGUGGGGGAAGUACGCCACUUGAGCAAAUGUUUGAAAAAGAAUCCACUCCUUAUUAUAAUUUAUGCACUGGCAUCUCGUUGAUAUUGGCCAACCCAAUCAAGAUAUCGAAGUGCAAUAAAAUGCAAAAUGUAUGAAGGAAAGCUGUCAUAAUAUCUGUAAUUAACUUGGAAAUAUAGUGUCAUGGAAAUGACUGCAUUAAUUGGAAUUGCCAGUAGAUCUUUUGCUUUCGAUAAGAAUUCAAUGUAUCCAUGGGAGAAAUACUGAAAUCUCAUACAGAUAUCUUAGAGCUCAAUAUAUCGAUGAUGGUUAGAGAUGAUUCAAAGGUUGUAAUGCGUUAAAAGGAUAUCCGAGGGUAUUGUGGGGGACUUCUGGUAGAAUAUUUUUUGCAUUUUAUAGUAGGCCGAUUGCAUUGCUUUUAGCUAGAUUUGGUCUGCAUGCAGUUUUAUGUCGGGUCCCAAAGCAUUUUUCCACAUCAGGUAAAUUGAUUCUCAGGGGCUCAUUGUACAUCAGAUUGAGUUGUAUGGUAGAGGCUUAAAUGCCUUCCAGCUUAAGAUAACUAGCUUGUAUGAUCAAAAUUUUUUCAUUAUCUAUAUGAUGUUAGAGCCAGAGAACCUUUAGACAAACUGUCUUGAUGCCGAAUCUGGUUAAUUCGCUUCACACUACUAUUUAUAUCUACAAUGUUCUCUCAUGCAGCUUCUUCCAAUGAAGUCCGUGAAGCCUUGAAGGAUGAACACCUUCAAAAACUUAUCUCUGAUAUUGAUAGCUCCCCAGAUGCAUUGAAUGUCAAUGAUGUUAUUCCCACUUUGAAAACCAAGACCUGAGACUUAUUUUCCUUUUUGCUGAUGUUGUUUGUCGCGUACUAAAUCGUGUUUUUACUUUUUGUUAGGAACUCGACAAAGCUAUUGGACUAGAUGUUUUUCGCAUUUUCAGUGAUAAGGUAUCUUAUCAUCUUCAACCAGUUCCGUCUUCUAUUUCUACUUUAACAAUAUUCAUAUUUUCUUCUUCACCUGUUGGGCUUCUGUAUAAUUACACUAUUGUUGCUAAUCAGAACUUGGUAAUGCCCGAAGUUUAACUUUCUAUUGUUUUCUCUAUCAUCAGAUUUUAUCCGCGAUCAAUCAAUGACCGCAUAUCAUAAUGCCUCUGAAGUUCUUUCUUCGAAUACAUCGAUGCCAAUAUAUUUAUGUCCAAGUUUUGCUGCGAGCUCAGAUGAGAAAUCAUCCCGCUGUCUCUGAGCCUGGUCAGUGGUCGAUGUUUCUGUAAGUUUAGUAUUUUGGUUAAUCGUUAUUCAUAUUUUUCUUGUGUUGUGUAUCUUGUGUUAGUUUUCAUCUCGACGAAAAUGUCUGAUGGCCUUCAUGUCUUUUCUUUUUACAGUAGAUCCCUACAAUUUCGUUAUCUCUUUCAACCCACUGUUAAAUUUUUUGUUCUUCCUAUGAAUGGUAGUAUUAUCAUUAACACUCAAGCUUUACGAGAUAUGAUGUUUCAAAUAUAAGUAAAAAUUUAUUGUUCCAAAUCCGGCAAUUGGUUAAAAUAGAGCUUAAAUCCUUCAAGGAGGAUCUAUUAUUGUCAUAAUUAGUAACACUAAAACCCCAACCCAAUUUGCACUUAUUUUAAAUAAAAAGAAAGAACAAGAAAAAGAUUAUAUAUGAUUAUAGAAUGUAAAUCAUGUAAAUAUAUAAUUUUUGUUAAAUAUUGUAAUGGUUUAAUUUUACUUUUCAUUCUUAUGAGCAUAAGAUUAAGAAUAUUAAUUCAAUAAUUGAUGUUAAUAUGUAUUUGAUUGGUUGGAAAGGUAAAUAGAUAAAAAUUAAGCUAAUAAUGAUUGAUGAACUAUUAACCUAAUGUAUCACUAAAUUUAUUAUAUCAAAUUAUAAAUUUUUUAAAAGGUAAAAAAUUAAGAGGGACUAAAUAUAUAUUUACCCUAUUUAAAAAAUGUAUGGUAUGUAAAGAAGUUUAAAGAAUUCAAGAGGGGAAAAAUAGAAAAUGUUCAUUUUCUGGAAUAGGAUGCUAAAAAUUGGGGAAGAAUUUGAAACUUUAGGGGGCCCAAACAUGUAAGUAUUCCAAUUUUGAAUGGGAUACCACAAGCUAGGGAGCUUCAAAAUUUUAGGGGCUAGUUCCCUGUGAACCCCUCUGGCUCAAUAGUUUUUGGGUGUAGCCUGGAUCGACUCGAUUUUAAUAUUAAAGUAAAAUUAUUUUAAAAUUUUAAAUAAGCACUUGAUUUUAAUAUUAUAACAUAACUGAAAGAAAAACAUAUACUCUGCAAUGUCCCAGCUAAUAUAUUAAAAAAAAACCUUUUAAACUACUACAUUUUGAUUAAACUAAAUAUAUCUUGAAUUGAUCAUAUAUCUUGAAUUGAGCUUAUCUUGAAGAUGUUUGUGCUCUUGUUGCUGACAGUGUGGACUAGAUGCCAAUGCAACUGAUAGGGUGCUUCGUCGAUCUUCCAAGCCUUCUCUAUACACAAAUAUCGACUGCAAUGCACUAUCUGCCGCUGUCAUUUGUAGACAGAUCUCUAUUGUUAGAUCACUUUUGCAGGUAAGCAUCUCAGAACAUAGUCGAUCAUGAUCUGUAGCUUCCCUUCAUUGGAGUACUAGAAUUUUUUUUGAAUUUGCACUCUUUGUUGCAUGGGAUUUAAAGUGCUAUAUAUGUAUAAGCUUAUGAAUCAAGUUUUUCCUUGCUUACUUAUCUGCAGAGUGUUCUUAAAUGGUAUUUCUAACUUUUUCAAAACUGAUGAUCAGGCUGGCAUCAAGACGGACUUAAAGGUGAGAGUUGGAGCUUGGUCUUGGGAUAUUGAUACAGGCGAAGAAACUAGGGUCGGUGCUGGACUAGCUGAAGCUUAUUCCAUCACAUGGUGCGCUGUCGAGUAUUUUGAAGUCAGUGGUUCCAUCUUGCGGUUGCUGCUUCGACACAUCUCCCCAAACAACCUUCACUAUGGCAGGACCUCAUCCACCGUGCCAUCUUAUGCAACAAUGUAUCAGCUGUUGAAGUGCUUCUGAAUUGCGGCGCCGACAUAGAAUUUCCAGUUAAAACAACUUCCAAAACAGCAUUACGCCCCAUACAUUUGUCUGCAAAACUAGGAUUUGUUGAAGUUCUUCAAUGCUUCAUUGUAGCUGGUUGUGAUAUCGAUUCUCGAACAGCUUUUGGAGAUUCCUUGCUUAUGAUUUGUGCUAGAUACAAACAUGGGGAUUGCCUUAAAGUACUGGCCUCAGCUGGGGCUGACUUUGGAUUGGUAAACUCCGCUGGCCAAAGUGCAAGCUCCAUUGCAGGGUUAACCAGAUGGAAUCAUGGCUUCCAACAAGCAGUUCAAGAUGUGAUUCUAGCCGGGAAGACACCUCAAUCAAGCAACCCCUCUGUAUUUUCUCCUUUGAUGUUCACUGCCCGUGGAAAUGAGAUUGAAGCUUUGAAGAAACUCCUUGAAAGGGCAGAUGUUGAUCUUUACGAACAAGAUGACGAUGGAAAUUCAGCUCUGAUGAUUGCUGCAUCAGGAGGCCAUUUGGAAGCCUUUGAGUUGCUUCUUCGUGCUGGUGCUAAUAUAAAGUUGUCUAACAAAUACGGUGAUACUUCCAUAAGCUUAUUGGAGUUAAAUCAGAAGGGCGAUGUAUUCAACCAACUAAUGCUGGAGUAUGCACAUGAAGACGGAAAUGGUCCCAUUGGGUUUUAUGCUCUACACCGUGCAGUAAAACGCGGAGACUUGAAUUUAGUUCACAUAUUAACUAGUAGAGGCUACGAUGUUAAUGCAUUUGAUGCUGAUGGAUACACCCCCCUAACGCUAGCAGCAAGAGGAGGUUAUGGUGGAGUCUGUGAGCUUCUAAUCUCUUGUGGUGCAAAAUGCGACAUAAAAAACGCGAGGCACGAAACAACUCUAUUGCUUGCGAGGAAAAAAUGGUAUGGAAACGAUACGGAAAUUGUCAUUCUGAAUGAGCUUGCUCGAGCUCUGGUUGUGGAUGGAAGCCAAGUGAAGAAGCACAGUAGGGGUGGUAAAGGAUCACCUCAUAGCAACGUACUGAGGAAGAUGGAGACCAGAGGCAUUCCGCGAGGGGGCAAAUCAAGUAGGAGAAAUGUGAUAUGCAAAGCAGCUGAGGUCGGUCCAGGUGAAAAAUUCCGAUGGAAUCGGAGGAGGAAGUUCGAUGUGGAAGAAUCGGGCAUGUUCCAUGUGGUGACUACAAAGAACAAUGAGGUGCAUUUCGUGUGUGAUGGUGGGAUUCAAAUGGCUGAACUGUGGGUGAGAGGGAUUCUUCUUGUGACAAGUGAAGCCAUUUUUGGCAAACCAAAACAAGUGUAAUUUUUGCUGAUCAAAUGAAAUUUUAUUCGAUGUUACUUUUUCCACAAUAUAUCCAAUUUCCACAACUUGGAAUUUAUAUAAAUCAUUUUAUGGAAAUUACAUUGUUGAACCAAAAAAAGAUUAUAUAAUUAUAAAUAUAUAAUAUUAAAUUAAUGGUAAAAUUAGUAACAUGUUUAUACAAAAAUUCAAUUGAAAUAUUAUAUAAAGAAAUUGCUCUUAAUUCAUCUUAUUUAUUUAUAUAUACAAUAGUAUAUUUGAUAUACUUAUAGUGUACUUUUUUUUAUUCCAUAAGCAGUCUUGAAAAAAUGGUCAUGUCUUUUUUUUAAAGAUAAAUAUUUUAUUAUACUCCUAUGCGAUAUUUAUCAACUCUUUAACUUGUGAAAUCUGAAAAUUCUACUGAUUUUCUCUUAUAUAAAUGCGUAAAAAAGAAAUAAAUAAAACAAAAAUUAAUUAUAAUCAAAUCUUCAAAUAAAAAUUACAUCAUUUCAAUUUUUUCUGUAUGCUUCUGCUAAUAGAUUUGAUAAGAGGGUUAUAAAAAUUCAAUUGAAAUAUUAAUAUAUAAAAAAAUGCGUUUAGCUGUAAAAAAUAAAUAAAAAUUAAUUAUAAUCUUCAAAUAAAAUCAUAUAAUAUAUAUAAUAUAAUAAGGUACAUAGGUUAUAUAUGCGAGAAGUGAUUAAUUUCUGUAAUUAUAAUUAUAAUUAAAUAUAUCUUUGAAAUGUAAAUGGUUGUCUUAAUUUCUUAAAACCAAAACUUUACAUAAUACAUGCAUAUUCAUUGGUUGUUGUUUUUUUUUAAUUAUUUUUUAUAUGUUGAUUUUUAUAUUAAUAAGAACCAUUCAUGUUUAUACAUAAUCAUGCAAUUAAGAAUUAUCAGAAGAUAUAUUCGAAGUCCUUUAUUAUGGUCUGGUUUACUUUUUAAUAUUUUUAUUUUCAACAACAAAAUAUUUCAUACUUUUCUAUUAAUUUUGAUAUAACAACAUUUAAGAUAAAUGUUUAUUUAAAUUCCUAAGUCGUUGAUAAAAAUAAUUACUAAAAAUUUUGUUAAACAUUUUCAAAGACUUGAAAAAGUACUCAAAAACAUGUUCUAAAUGUGUUUUAAUUUAUUUAAAUGUUUUUAAGUGCUCAUUUUGUUCAAGUCUGAGAAGUUGUAUCAAUACUUGGAGGAAGUUAUACCGACAGAAGCAAGUCAGAGAGUACCUCAAGCAUUCCUCUAGACUUUUACCAAAUACUCAAGGGGACUUUACCGAUACAAGUCCACUUCUACUAUACAGGUCCACUUCUACCCAUACAUCUUGUGAGUUGUAUUGAUACAAGUCUAUCUACAAUACUUCAAACGUUUAGAAACUAUCCCAAGGGCUAUAAAUUGUUAGAAAUUUUUACCUUGUUAUAUAUGCACAUCAAGAUCACUUCAACAUACAAGAGAUGAACAUCCAAUCAUAGAUAUCAAGGCAAAACCUUCAAUUCUUUAUUUUAUUUAUUUUCUCUUGUAUAUAUUCAUUGAUAGCAUAUUGUAAUAUCUUUUCUCACUCUCAAAUCUUUGUAUUUAGAGCUUCAAUUUGUAAAUACACACCUAUUAGAGGUUCAUUGUUAGUUUUCUCAUCAUCUAUUUGUUGUGAAAAGCUUACUUAAGGCUUUUGUGGUAUAAAACCUUAAGUAGAUUGUAAAAGGUUUCUAGUUGAGCCACAAAAGCUAGAUGGUUUUAGUUUAGCCAUAAAAACUAGGGGAGAAGUUCUAUCUUAACCUCGUGAAAAAGAUAGAGAUUGAAAGGUUAUACAUUUUCUUGGAAAGGUAAUAAUUCAAGUAUAGUGAAUUGGAAAAGCCUUUGUUGAUGUAUACCAAGGUAGUUGAGGUAAGUAAUUAGGGUCAAACCACUAAAUGAAAUUUUCUAAGCUUUUUUUCCCUUUCCUCAUCAUUUAGAAAAGUUUGCAAAGAUUUUUAAAAAUACCAAUUCACCCCCUUUUAGUAUUUUCGGGCCUAAUAAUGGAUAUCAGAGUUUAGUCUUCAUCAAAGGUUUAACCACCAGGAGCAAAAAUUUGAGGUGGAAAAUAUCGAGUUUAGAUGAAAUUUAAGUCAAGGUCAACAAUUUGCAAGAAGGUGAUUCCAUCAUGUGCCCUCAACUCCUAAAUGAAGAAAAUCAUUCCAAUUGGAAAGUGAUGAUGAAAUUAUUUGUCCAAGCAUUUGAUUAUGAUAUUUAGAGGAUUAGCUCAAGGGGUCCAUUGGAGGUACCCAAGGAGGAAGAAAGAUGAGAUGGAAAUGACAAAACAAAGGCUCAAUCCAACUCCAAGGUUAUGCACACACUCCUUUGUGCUAUUAGUGAAGAAGUCUUCAAUAAAGUUUCCUCAUGUGGAAGUGCCAAAGACAUAUGGAGUAUACUUGAAUACAUCUAUAGAGACAAGAAGGAAGAAAAAGAGACCAAGAAACCUUAUAAGAGAGAAAGUUCAACUAGUGACGAGGAAAGCAAAGUUGAGUAACCAGGUGAAAGCUUCCCCACAAAUCCAAAGGUGAUGUGUCUUUUGGCUCUUAAAGAGUACAAGGUGUCUUCUAGUUUAUAUAAUUUAAAUUCAUAUUUAUUUGAUGAGCUACAAGAUGCUUUCAAUGAGUUAGCAUUAGAAUUUGAGACCAUGAAUUUCAAAUACAAGAAAUGAUUUUAAAAUUCAAAAUUCAAAAUUUAAUUUAGAAAGCCAAAAUGAAAAUUUUAAAAUAAAUUUUGAGACUUCCCAAAACAAAAGUUAAUUUUUUUGAAAAUAAAAAAUUUGAGUUGAAAAUGAAAUUUGACAAUUUAAAAAAGGAAAAGAAAAUCAUAUUGGAAAACUCUUAGGAUGUUCAAACAUGGUUUGUAGAUUAUUUGGUUAAUUUCAAUCUGAUCAUGCUUGAAGAUGUUAAUAGGAUGUAUGCAUAUUAGAACAUAUUACAUUUUUACACAUCCUAGAAGGAGCAUACAAAGCUUAAUAAUUUUGUUGUUAAAAAAAAUUAUUUGUGCAAUAUAUAUAUAUUUGAGUAAGUGACUUUUGAUAAAAUGGUUUGAACAUUUUGAGAAAUUUCUUUGAGCUUGCUUAGAUAAAGAAGUUUGAAAAACUUGCAAUAAUUUGGGUUCUAAUAUUUUGAAUGCACAUUUAUAAGACUUUUUGAGCUUAAGUGGUCAAUUUUUUAUGUUAGUGAUUUAUGGACACGGAAAUCAUUUAGACACACUUUAAGUGAUUACAAAACUUCACUAAAGAGUUUUGAAAUGAUAUUUUAACAUGUUUGUCCAAUUUGAGUCCAAUUUCAAGAAAAUGUAUACAUUCAAGAUUUAAUUUUUACAAUUUCCUUAUUAAUUACGCCAUUUGAUUACUUGAACAAGUUUGUUUCAUUGUUUGGAAGUUGUUGGAAAAGUUCCAAGUUAAUUAAAAAUGUGAUUUUAAAUUUUUAACUAUUUGAAUGCUCGUUUUAAAAGCAAAAAUGAAUUCUAAAAUUAUUAAAGUUAAGUUAUAUAUAUUUAAAAUAUAAUUUUUAUGAUAAAAAAAUAUAUAAUUUUUAUAUUUUUUUAUUAUCUAUUAAAUUAUAAAAGUUUAUGUUUGAAAUAAAUAGUUAAUUAGAUAAACAAAAAUUUGAAAAGAUAGUUUAUUCAUUUAAUUUAAUUAAAAUAUAUUAUAUUAUGAAAAAUAUUUUAGUAUAAUGCAUGAAUAAAUUAAUAAAAUUAUUUAUACCCCAAUCAAUAAAAUGAAUAUUUUAUACCAGUAAUAUGAGUAACCCAUGCAAUUAGGUUUCUCUAAUAAUUUUAAAAAUAUUAAAUUCGUCUGCCUUUUGGUACGUGUUGUUGGUUUUCUCUAUAUGAAGUCUAUAUUUUUGUGGUUUUCUGCGGUUUGGGUCUGUUCUUGUGUUUUUAGUCUGAUUAUGGAAGAAGAUAUUGCUGGUCUCACUCUUCAGGAUGACGAGGAUGAUGCGUGGCUAGUUGAUUCUGGUGCUUCGGAACCUGUAGCUGGGUUUGAUUUCUAUUUGGUGGGUUGCUUUUUGACUGCUAUUGUUGUCCGUUUUGAGGCAAGGCGAACCACCGUGGCCAAUUUGUGGCACUUAAUUGAGGGAAUUUCUAUUUUUUAUUUGGGUGAGAAGCGUUUUCUCUUUUGGUCUUAUGUUGAAGUGGAUAUUGCACGGGUUAUUCAGGGUAGCCCUUGGACCUUUAGCAACCACUUACUUGUGUUUCAUUGAUUGGAAAAAGGGGAGGACCCCCUUCAAGUCUCGCUGUAUUAUGUUGAUUUUUGGGUUCAAAUUCAUGACCUCCCCAUUGGGUUCUACAACGAGCAAUUGGCCAGGCAAUUUAGAAAUUUUCUUGGGACAUUUUUGGACUAUGAUUCCAAGGCUCUUUUUUUUGGUUUACAGAAAUGUUUGCGGGCACGGGUUGAUGUCUAACUCCCAUAGAAGCGAAAUAAGCAUUUUGUUCUUUCUCAUCACCAAUAUGUUUAUGCCCGUUUCUAGUACGAACGAUUGACACUUUUUUGCUUCCUUUAUGGAAAACUGGGUCAUGGUGAGAGUUUUUACCCAAUUCGGUUGACCUUUGGGGCGAAAGAGGUUCUAAUGAGAUGGGAUGUGUCCUUGAGGGCAACGCCACAUUGACUCAGGCCCAGACCAGUGUUUGGCUUCGUCAUGUGCAUGUUGUGGGAGUUCAGCUAUCUAGGGGCCUGUAACACCCCUAACCCAUAUCAGUCAUCGGAAUAGGGUUGCGAAGCAUUACCAGAGUUUACAUUUCAAAACUAUCAAAAAUAUAAAUCAUUUACUUCACAACAUCAAUCAUAGCAAAUUCCAUCAAUAACAUACAUAUUGUCCCUUAUACAAGCCCUCAACGCCCUAAAAAUACAUUAGAAAAAAAUCGGGACUAAAUCGAAAACAUUUAGAAUUUUUUGGGAAAAUAUGAAAAUUUUCAAACUGCAGGGGUCACACAGUUGUGUGGCUAGGCCGUGUAACUGCCUGACUUGCAACCCUUAGUAAGCUACAAGGGACACACGGCUGAGACACACUCCCGUGUCUCUAGUCGUGUGGACGAAAAAUAUGUCAUUUCCAAGCCAUUUUUCUUCCCCAAUCAUGCACACACCUAUAACCAAUUUUUCCACAUGUAAUCAAGCAUUCAAAAUGCAUCAACAAGCUAAAUCAAUAAGGUAUAUAUAUUCACACAACUAAUAUGUUCAAUGGGCACCUCAAAUCACAUCAAUCAUACAUGUAUAACUAAAUGUUUAAUUUAGCCAAAACUUAUCAUUUUGUACACAUAUCAAAUCCACACUUAUAUGUACCAAAUUUAUCAUUUAACAAUUAGCACCAUUAGCCAUAUAUGUCAACUACAUUCCAUAUACCGAUGAUAGGUUAGAAAUUUCAACUCUUGUCAAUGAGGGUGAACAGAUUUUGCUUAUCGGUUACACCGAAGUCGCCAUCAACCACUGUUAUAGGGAACAAAAUAUUGUUGCUCACCUGCUGACAGGUGGUGGGUCGACCCUCCCAAUUAUAUAUUUGGCCCUUGUGUGGUUAUCCGAAGCAUCAUUCUUGUAUCUUUUUUACUUGCUUUGUCCUUAGCCUCUCCACCGUCUUGCUCGUCUUAGUCUACCUUUGGGCAUUUGAAUGUUUUGGCUUCUAUCAGUUUUCUAUUUUUGUUGCAGUUUAGGGUUUCUCCUUUUCUUUGCCUUCCAAAUGAUUUUGAUGGGUCUGUUAGGUUUUUUGUUUUUUUUUGGUUUGUGCUGGGUUUUUUGGCAGCGUGCUCUAUUGCUUGGAUUGUUUGUUUCUAAUUUUACCCUUUAAUAAAUGGAAGCCAAUUUUAAAAAAAAAGGUUUCUCUAAUAAAAUUUUAUUAAUAUAGCAUUCAUGAACAAAAAUUUAAUAUGGUUAUAAAUUAAUAUUCAUAACAUAUUCACUAAAAUUUUAGUAUAUUAUAUUUAUAAUAUGUUUACAAUAUUUAUUGUUAUACCAAAUAGAUGUAUAUUAUUAAAAUACAUGGAGAUAUAAUAUUAUCACAAAAUAACAUAUUAGUAUAUUAAACACAUUAUAGUAUAUUAAUAAUUUAAUUUGGUAUAUAUCUAAAAUAUUAAUUAUAAUAGAUGCACAGGUUAAAUAUUAUGGAUAAUUAUUAAUAUUUGGGUAUAUAUCGAUAUUAUUAGUUUGAUAUAAUAUUAGGGGUAGGAGAUGAAGGUAACACGAUUCAAACCCGUGUCAAAUGAGUAUUUAAUAAGAGUUUUAAGGGUAAACUACUAAAAUAGUCACUUUUGCUUUUCUCAGAUUAUAUUUUAGUCACUUAUAUUUGAAAUGUUACGUUUUAGUCACUUACGUUAUCGUGUUAUAACAUUUUAGUCAUUGAGCGUUAACUGUUGUUAACAGUGUAACAGUAAGCUGAUGCGGCACGUUAAAUUAUCGUUCCAAAAGAAAAUUUUAGGUUAAAUUAUACAAUUGGUCCCUAUAUUUUUUUUUCAUUUUGAGCAAUUUAAUUUUUUUCUUUUAUGUUAAAAGAGAUGGAGAAUGGAGAAAAAUAAAGAGAGAAGCAGAAGAAAAUGGAAAAUAAAGAAAGAAAAAGAAAAAUUUAAAAGAACAAUAUCAAAUAAAAAUAAUUUAAAAAAAAUGGAUAGCAAAACCCCUUACAAUGAAUAAAAUACAAGGGUUGAAAUAGGUAAGAAAAGCCUAUUCCACAAAAGAAGGGAUGAGAGGUUGUUAUGAAGUAGAAACAAGGAUGCGAUAAUUGUUGAGAAGAAAGUAGAUAGAUGGGUAGUUAGACUUAGUUAAUAUAGUUAGUUUUUUAUUAGUUAGUUAGCAGGUAAUCUAAAAACGAUUAGUGAUUCUAUAAUUAUAAUUAACAGUCUUCCACUAAAUGUACUGGUUUUUUCCUUCAUCAGUAGAUUCUUGAUCAGUUUUUCAACAUGGUAUUAGAGCUCCGGUGAUCGUCGUCUUUUCGAUCGUUCACGUUUACUCGGUACUGCCAGUUGGUCUUUCUAGUCAUUCUAGUUUGCUCAAUAUUGCUGAUUGGUCUUUUUUUUGUUUUGGGUUCUAUAGGUUGAUAGCCAAGCCCAUUUUCUGUUGGUUUCUACUGGCCCAAAUACGUUUGUUGGGCAAAGUCCAGUUGUUAAUCUAGGGCUCUUUUCAUUCGUGGUGUUUUCUUCUUGGUUGUGUUGUUCUUGCUUGUCGACGUUCUUCUUUGUUUUCAAUAUCGGUGUUUUGUUUGAAUCAUGGUGAACCAUUCUGGAUCGGUUAUUGAUUUCAAUCAUCCCCUUUACAUGUAUUUGUCUAAUAUUUUAGGUGCCUUGCUGGUGUCUCACCAGUUGCUUGGAGUUAAGAAUGAUAACGUUUGGAGCCAGACCAUGAAAAUUGCAUUGUUAGCUAAAAAUAAAUUGGGGUUUGUGGAUGGUACUUGUUCUAAGGAUUCAUUACCAGAUGAGAUGGGCUAUCAAUGGGAGUGGUGUAAUGCCAUUGUCUUGUCUUGGAUUUUGAAUAUAGUUAGCAGAAAGCUCUCAGCAGGGAUUUUUUUUGCAUCUAGCACAACAACGGUGUGGAACGAUCUUUGUGAACAGUUCUAUAAAGUUGAUGGUUCUAGGAUUUAUUUUUUGCAUCGUGAAAUCACUUCGCAUCUUCAAGGUACUACUUCCAUCUUUAUGUAUUUUACUAAGUUGCGACUGUUUUGGGAUGAGUAUGAUACUCUUGUGCCCUUUUUCUUCAUAUGGAUAUGUUUAGUCAAGGCAGAAUGUUAAGCAUGAUUUGCAGCAGCGUCUAUUCCAAUUUCUAAUCGGAUUGAAUGAAACAUAUAAUGCGGUGCAUAGUCAAAUCUUGUUGAUGAACCUAUUACCAUCUGUCAAUCAAGCUUACUCUAUACUCGUGCAAGAGGAAUCACAGAGGCAACAUAGUUCUAGUGUUGUUGGGUCUGAUCCAGUCUCUUUUCACUCAGCUUAUAUGGUACAAAAGAGGCGUUUUAUUGGAUCUUGUGAUCAUUGCAAGAUUAAAGGGCAUAAAAAGGAAAAUAGCUAUAGGAUAAUUGGUUACUUUACAGAUUUUAUGUUCACUAAGAAGAAGGCAAACAAUGUUUCUGGAUCCAUGGUGAACAAUGUUUUUGUUAAUGAUUCUACAAGUGGCAAUGAAAUGACUAGUGAUGUUGGUGGUGUGCCUAGUCCACAAGCACCUAUGUUUACUCAAGCACAGCAUCAACAAAUCUUGAGUUUGUUGAACAAUGAGCCCACAAUUGAAGUUGUUGCAAGCCUAGCAGGUAUGGUUGAUGUAGGUCAAAAUUGAAUUAUAGAUACUGGAGCUACUGACCAUAUGCUCUCUGAUUUCCAAUUCUUAGAAUUUCCUAUUGCAUGUGUAUCACAUUCUCCCUGUGUCCGACUCCCAAAUGGCUCUUCUGUUUCAAUUACUCACGUUGGCACCUAUACUAUUCAACCUGAUCUUCAGCUUACUAAAGUUCUCUAUGUUCCAAAUUUUUGUUAUAACCUUUUUUCCAUUUCUAAGAUUACAAAUGAUCUCAAUUGUGUUUUUUCGUUUUAUCCUCAUUUUUGCCUCAUAUAGGAUCUCUCAAGUGUAAAGAUGAGGAGGAUUGGUAGGGAGUGAAGCGGUCUUUACAUCUUAGAACCUUCUCGACAGACUAGUGUGGCUGUAACUCUGUCUGUUACAUCUAUUACAUCCGUUGAACCAUCCUUUCUUUGGCAUACUAGACUUGGCCAUGCUUCUGUUUCAAGAUUGAAUAAGGUGCUUAAUCUUCUUUACAUAGUUUCGAAUAAUGAUAGCAUUCAACAGUGUCCUGUGUGUCCUCUUGCUAAACAAACUAGACUCUCAUUUCCCAUAAGUACAUCUCGUGUCGAUACUAUUUUUUCUCUUAUUCAUAUAGAUUUGUGGGGGCCCUAUCGAGUUUUUAGUCAUAGUAGCCAUAGGUAUUUUUUAACCAUUGUUGAUGAUUACUCAAGAAUGACAUGGUUGUAUUUGUUGCAAUAUAAAAAUGAUGCUCCUAUAUAUCUCAAAUAGUUUUUUUCCUUGAUUAAGAAUCAAUUUUCCACUAACAUCAAAUAUGUUCGUAAUGAUAAUGGGUAUGAAUUUUUUAAGACUGAGUGCAACAAAUUUUUUAAUAUGUUAGGCAUUGUACAUCGAAGCUCGUGUGUUCACACUCCUCAGUAAAAUGGGGUUGUUGAGCGUAAACAUAGACAUUUGCUUGAAGUUGCUAGGUCUUUCAAAUUUAAGUCCCACAUGCCUAGUAAAUUUUGGGGUGAGUCUGUAUUAACUGCCUAUUUGUUGAUAAAUUGACUACCUACUCCUCUCUUGUAUUGGAACUUUCCUUUUGAAAUUUUAUAUAGUAAACCUCCUGAUCUUUCUCAUCUAAAAGUGUUUGGAUGUCUUUGUUAUGCUACCAUACCUAAUUAUCAUGAUAAUUUUUCUCCUAAGGCUAUUCCUUCUGUGUUUAUGGGAUACUCUAAUGUUUAGAAAGGUUACUUGUUAUUCAAUCUUGAAAAAAAAAUUUCCUUGUUAAUCGAGAUGCAAUAUUUCAUGAGACUGUGUUUCCUUUUGUAUUUCCUACAAAACAUUUUUUAUUUUUCCCUACAGUUGAUAGCUCUACUUUUCUUGAUCUGGAGUCUUUGCCUUCCAUUCCUAUACUUCCCCUAUCACCUAUUUUGCCAACGAAUCUUCCUUCCCAAACUUUACCAACUAGUACUACUUUACCAAUUCAGCCUUGCAUCCUUCCUGAACAGAUUCCUUUCCCUUCAACCCCCUUAGGACGCACCAUACGGUCUAUCAAGCCACCUGCAUGGAUGAGAGAUUACGUCUAUUCCAACCAAUCUUCCACUUCCCUUGCUACAGGUUCAUACCCUAUUUCUCAUGUUUAUUCAUCGUUACAUUUACCUAUUCACACUCAGUUGUUUGCAGGCCAUAUUUCUUCCUUAUCUGAACCCUAAACAUAUGCUGAGGCCAUCUCGAAUCCAAGAUGGGUCGAUGCUAUGCAACAAGAAAUUCGAGCUUUGGAAAACAAUGAUACGUGGGAGGUCAUUUCUUUACUUGCUGGUGUUGUUCCUAUUGGGUGCACAUGGGUCUAUAAGAUCAAGUAUAACUUUGAUGGCUCUAUUGAAAGGUUUAAAGCUUAAGUGGUGAGGAAAGGAUACAAUCAGUAGGCUGGUAUUGAUUUUCAUGAGACUUUUUCCUCAGUGAUUAAGCAUGUAACUAUUUGGACUUUUGUUAGUGUGGCUGCUAUGCAUGACUGGCCCAUUUUCCAAAUGAAUGUAUACAAUGCCUUCUUAUAAGGAUAUUUGUGUGAAGAGGUUUAUAUGGACAUUCCAGAAGGUUUUCGCACACAGAUAGAGCACAAGGUGUGUCGUUUGCUCAAAUCAUUGUACGGUUGAAACAAGCUUCUUGAAAAUGGAAUUUAAAGCUUACUGAGGCAUUAUUUCAAGAAGGUUCAUUGUUUUCAAAAAUACAAGAGGUAACAUAGUCAUACUACUUGUCUAUGUUGAUGAUCUACUAAUCACAGGAAGUGACAUUGGUAUGAUAAAUGAGUUUAAAAAGGUUCUGUACCAGAAUUUUAAAACUUGGGUGCAUUGAAAUAUUUUCUUGGUAUAGAGGUUAUGAGAUCAAGUGAAGGUAUUGUGUUGAAUCAAAGGAAGUAUGCGUUGGAGUUUAUAGCUGAUGUUGGGUUAGGAGGAGCAAAACCAACAAGUAUGCCUCUUGAACAAAAUCAGAAACUCACUUCGAUUGAGUAUGAUGAAUCUGUACAACUGAGUGCUGAUGGUGAUGAAUUGAUAUUUGAUGUUGUAGUAUCGUUUGCAGACAUAUCGUUUGCAAUCCAACACUUAAGCCAGUUCAUGCACAAACCAAAAAACUCUCAUCUGGAGGCUGCUUUUCGGGUGGUUCGAUAUAUCAAAAAAAAUCUUGGUCAAGGUAUCUUAUUGGCUGCAUCCAGUAAACUAUAGUUUGUUACAUUUUGUGAUUCAGAUUGGGCUUCAUGUCCCAUGUCCAGAAUAUUUGUCACCGGAUUUUGUGUUAAGCUUGGAGAUUCCCUCAUUUCAUGGAAAAAAAAACAAACUACUGUUUCUCAAUCAUUAGCAGAGGCUGAAUACUGAAGUAUGACAGCAGUAGUAGCAGAGGUUAUUUGGUUGGAUGGCUUGUUGAAAGAGGUCUGUCUUGGUCAGUUUGACAAGUCUUUACUUUUUUUAGAUACCCAGGCAAUACUAUAGAUUGCAACAAACCCUGUUUUUCAUGAACGUACCAAACAUAUAGAAAUUGAUUGUCAUUUUGUACGGGAUAAAAUUGGAUAAGGUUUGAUUCAAAUGCAGCACAUUGGGACAAUUGAAUAGCUUGUAGAUUUGAUGACUAAAGCACUUGGAAUCAAGCAACAUGAAUCUUUGGUGUCCAAGUUGGGGAUUAAAGAUUUGUAUCAACCCUCAACUUGAGGGGGAGUGUUGAGAAAAAAGUAGAUAGUUAGCUGGGUAGUUAGACUCAGUUAGUAUAGUUAGUUUGUUAUUAGUUAGUUAGCAGGUAAUCUAUAAAAUAUUAGUGAGUCUGUAAUUAUAAUUAAUGGUCUUUCACUGAAUGUACUGGUUUUUUUCUUCAUAAAUAGAUGCUUGAUCAGUUUUUCAACAAUAAUGUUGAAAGAAGAAGCGGAGCAUAUACGGUUGUCAAUCUCUUGUUUUCAUUGCCAUGCUUAAGGAAAUAAAACAAGUAGAAAAGCAUGCAUUGUUGUAACAAUAUCAACAAUGUUCUUUUGGUUUCGAUAAGUUGGACUUUAUAACUUUGUAAUUGAGAUCAUAAGAACGACUCCAAUAAUUGUAUUAGACAACAAGUGUGAUUCAGGAAAUCCCAAUCCAUUACACACACUCCAAAAUUAGCAUGUAAAACGACUAUCCCUAAAUGAUUCAUGGUGAAACCAGUAGAGGUUAGUUCGCAAACGGACAAGCUUGCAAGAAAGAUUCAUUUUCUUUCAAUGGAAUCCAGCUAAAAACAAUAACAACACAUAUUGAUAAAUACCAUUAAUUCUAGGUAUCGCCAUCUUAAACAUGGGUAGAAUUCCUCGAGGAAUCAUGAUCAUCACCCUCACUCCAAAUACAAGAUGCAAGGAGAAGUUGGACUCCACUGUAAACAAUGGUUGAAAGCAUCUACCCUUCUCUCAAAUUACUCCAGUGCUUCUUGAGCACCAAAGUCAACAAUUUUACUAUACCCGUCAGUAGUAUGUGGCAAUUCUCUGGCUGGUGAAGAACAAUAUUCCAAACAAAGCUCACAUGGUAAGCCCCAAGCUUAGCAUCAAAAUUGAAAAAACAAAAAUGGAUAAACCCUAAAUUUAAUUAUUAAUCAAUCAUAACUCUUAACUAAAAGUCUGCAACGCAAACCAACAUAUAUAGCAUAUCAUAAUAUCACACAAGUUUGUUAAUAUAAUUAUUAUUUUCAUAACAAAUUUAACUUUAAUAAUAUUUUGAUUAUUUUAUUUAAAAUAUUCUAUCUUAAUAUUUUAUUAAUAAUUCACUUUAUAAAUAUUUAGAAAUAAAUGUUUCAUAAUAUAAAUAAGAAUAUUUUAAUAAUAUAAAUAUGAGUAUUUAUCCCAUCCGUUUACAGUGUGUCAUUAUCUACCCUCGUAUAUGUUAUAUGUUAAUUAAAUUUUAAUUAGGUAUUGAUUAUUAUCAAAACUAUAUAAGAUAUUUGUUAUUACAAUUUCAUCUCUUUGCUUCUCUCUUUAGAAAUCUAAACUUGUUUAUAUAUCGGGUUCAUCCCUCUAACUCUAAAGAAGAAUCCUGUAUGAAACAAGAAAAUUUUUUGUUUGCCAGGUGAUUGAUCAGAGAAAGUGAGUGAAUUAGAAAUAAUGGCAGAAGCAGAGAAAUUUGUGGAAUCUGAUAACGUCGAGGAUGUAUUAGCAAAAAUAGAAAACAAAUCUUUGAAGAUCGAGUGCUUAAUUAAACAAUUGAAAUUUCUAAUACGAAUUUGAGUUUUCCAUUUAAAAGUUUUAAAAGGAAAAAAAAACCCUAUUUCUAUAGGAUUGGUUUGUUUCUAUCUCAGGUAUAAACCCAUUGAAGCUAUUAAAACUAUGCUCAAGUGUAAUCCUCCCCAAGAUGAACGAUGCAAGGUUUGGUACCCUAAAAAGAAAAAAGUUUUUUUUUUCCAUUUUUUUCAUUUAAUUUGGAUAUUGGCAUUUUUAGUCUAUAAAUUGGAUACGUGUGCAUGAAGCAUUAAUGGUUAUCAAAGAUGUUAAAGGAAACUAUGGUAUUCUUAUGAAGUGAGUCUUUUUAAUUCUUAUGAAGUGAAUCUUAUUUAAAAACUUUUCUUUUCUUUUGGAAUUUCACUUGUAUAUUUCAUUCAAUGAUAGGGUCUCUUUCAAAGUUUUUAAAAUAAGAUUGAGAGUAUUUGACAAAAACGAAAUCUGGUCUAAUCUGCUUAAUCCCUCAUGGAAUCUACUUUUAUGCUUUUCUUUUUUAGUAAUUGUUAGUGCAUUGUAACAUCUCUAACCCGUCUCCGUCGCUGGAUUCGGUUUACGGAGCAUUACCGUACAAAUCAGAACAAUUAAUUUCAAUACAAAUCAAUAAUGCCAUUUAAUCUUAAUUACCAAAAAUUCAUUAUAAACCUAGCAAACAUACACAUUUGAGCCUUAAAUCGAGCCUUUUAGGCCCUAAAAAUAGUUCGGGAACAAUCUAGGACUAAUUUAAAAAAAAUAAAAAAAUUUCAAAAAAAGUUGAAAAUUUUGAAAACACAGGUCACACAGCAUUGUGACAUAACUCAGGCCAUGUGGGUAUUCGAAGUUUGGUCACAUAGUCGUGUAACUCAUUGUGGCCGUGUGAUUCAUCAUAUAUCUAGAAUUUAAUAAACACACGGCUGUGUGGGUUGGCUGUGUGUGGCACACAGUCGUGUAACAGCCCAUGUCUCAGGCUGUGUGCACCAAAAUUAACCCUUAAAACAAACAAUUUCAAUACCCAUCCUUGUCCAACAAGAUACAUCAUUUACACAUGUAUUCAUUUGUCCAAAACACUUUCAAUUCAUGCUAAAUCAAUCAACCUAUGAAUUCUAACCAAUAUGCUAUUCAAAGGCACCACAAUUCACACCAAUUCAUCUAAUUCUAAAACAUACCUUACCUUAAACAUACAUCAUCACAACCAUGCAUCAUUAGUCAUUUCAAUCGUAUAUAAGCAUGUCUCAAGCCAUAUAUUUACAAUACACCUAAAAAUAAUCAAGAAUACAUCUUGCCAAAACCUUAUAAACCUAAACAAAAACAUUUACACAAAAGGCAUAAGCAAACUAGGUUGACCAAAUAACAUAUAUGUAACACUUAUUCAUUAAGCCUUAUACAUGCCAAAACACACAUCACACAUUCACCAUUUAGUUACUUCAUUCUCAAAUUAUAUCACUUAGUCACAUUCCUUCACAAGACACACAUAAGAGACCAAACUCACCUAUUAACACAAACAUAUACCAACUAAUUUCAAAACAUAUAUAUACUCAAGUAUGUUAAGCAUAAGCUCAAAACAUUACAAAUUAACAUACAACCCUAUACAUGCCAUUCAUAACCAUUAGCCCAAAUUAUUCAAAAGCUACCAAAAUAGUCAAUGGAUAGUGUGAUUGUGCUUCGACGAAUAUUUCAACCGAUCUGGCUUUCUAAUGAUCUACAAAACAAAGAAAACAACCAUAUAAGCAACUAGUGCUUAGUAAGCUCGUAUAAAGGAAACUUAAACUUACCGAACAUAUUAAAUUAAACAACCAAACAUAAUUUCACCAUGUCAUAUGCCAAACUUCCUUUCCUAUACACAUCAUCUCAUAAGGUUAGUAAAUAUAAUAUUACAUGUAAGUUCCAAGUAUAUCAUGGUAUAUAAAUAAUAAGCAUUUAGACUUUAUAUAUCAUCCAUCACACACACACAUAUAUAUAUCCAUUACACAUUCUUCUCAAUUGAAUCAACAUAGUUAGUAGAUAAUAAGUAAACAUAACAUUUAUAAAACCUAGCCUAUAUUAAGAAAUGAAUUCCAUGCAUAUUUCAUCAAUCACUUGAUAAAAUCUCAUCCUUUUUAUUUCAUAUAUGCCUGUCUUUCUUUCCAUUUCAUAUGAACAUUAGUAACAUUAAAUUUAAUAGAUGUCUUUCCAUUAAUCUUUACUUACCCGUUGAACCAUAUAGGAUUACAUCUAAAACUUGAAAUAAUAUUUUCAAUACAAAUUACCUGACACAAUACACUGGUACAAAGCCUUCUAGGCUCAAGGCCUGAUACAAUACACCGACACGAAGCCUACUAGGCUCACAGCUUGAUACAAUACACCGGCAUGAAGCCUGCUAGGCUCAAGGCCUGAUAUAAUACAUCGACACAAAGCCUGCUAGGCUCAAGUCCUGAUACAAUAGACCAGCACGAAGCCUACUAGGCUCAAGGCCUGACACAAUAUCUCCGGUAUAACUCAAUUGCAUUAUUAAUUUCUAUCAACCAACAUUAUAUAAUUACAAACACCUUAACUAAUAGAGUAAAAAAAUAUCAAGGAAUUUAAUAUAAAAAUAUAUAUAAUACUAAUUUACUUGUACCAAAACGAUGUCCUAAUAUGAUCUAACGCCUAAUCCGCUACUUUGAUUUUUCCACUAUUUAUGUCCGUUCGAGUCAUUUCUUGAUCUAAAUAAUUAUAUUUAUUCAAUUAAUCCCAUUCCAGCAUUUAAAAUGAUUAAUUUAAAUUAUAACCCUUAACAAUAAAAGUUUACAAAAUUACCUCAAAGUUUACCUUUUUGCAAUUUAGUUCCUAAACCCGAAACUUAUAAUUUAACCACUUUUAAUUAAAAUCCAUGCUAGCUGAUUAUUACCUAACCUUAUAACAACCCAUAUUUAUCAUCAAUUUACACUAUUUUUCUUGAAUUUUACCAUUUUCAUAAAUAAGUCCCUAAACCUUAAAAUCAUCAAUAAUUUCCUAACAAAAUAUAUCUAUUUAACGCUUAACAAUUUAUCAUAAAACUUCAAAAAUAUAUCAAAUUCAUCUAUGGCAUAAUCUAUAACAUUUAAAAAUUUUACAAAUUGACCCCCGGAUUAGCUAGAUUAAACUAAUACAAACUCAAAAACAUAAAAUUUACGAAAAACGGGUUAAAAUUAAAUUUACAUGCAAAUAACCAUGCUUGGCCGAAGCUUAUGAAGCCAACAAUGGAGUUUUCCAUUUUCCUAUUCGGUGAUGAAGAUAGAAAAUGAAGAAGACACAUGCUUUAUUUUCUUUUGUUUUAGAUUUAUUUAUUAAAUUAUUAUAUUAACCUUAAAGUAAACAACUCAAAUUCCAUAUUUAAAACCCAUGAACCGUCCACUAUGGUCUAAAAAGGUAUAAUUACCACAUAAAUCCUUUAAUUCAUGAUUUUAUAUCCAUUUAAUACAAAUAAAGUUAUAACGAUUAAGUUUUACAUCUUUUACAAUUUAGUCCUUUUCAAUUAAUUAACUAUCUAAACAUUAAAAUUUCUUAACCAAAUUUUAAUAUGACCCUAAUAACAUCUGUAAAUAUUUAAUAAAAUAUUUUUGAGCUCGAUUUAUAGUAAGGAGGUCCCAAAACCUUAUUUUCUAAAACCACUUUACUUUAAGGACUUGCUACUUGAACCUAAUUAUUCAUUCAAAUAAAAUAAAUUAUGAAAUCAAAAUUUAUUAUAAUACUAUAUUGGACUCAUAAAUAUUAAAUAGUAGUAUUUACGGACUAACUCGUGAGAUUUAUGGCCUCGAAACCAUAGUUUUCGACACCACAAAAAACAAGUUGUUACAUGCACAACUGUUGUUGCAACGAAUGUUACAUUAUUAUUGACUAAUGAAUAACUUCAAGUAUCUGCACUUGAUGAAUAUGCAUUUUGUGACUAAAUCUUUUAGUAGGUUUGUUGUUCUCAUUGUUGAACAUUUUGCCUAGUGAUGUUAUAGCUCUUGGAUAGACAAUUGUUUUCAUUACAGGUACACAUGUUUUGUAGUUCAUAUAUAAUUGUUAUGAAUAUUUCCAAGUAUGUAUAUAGAGGAUUGUCGAUAGGAGAUCACACCACAUGUGAUCAGUGCCUUAAGAUCCAUGAAAAGCUGAUAGAGAAAGUCGGUUUCGGAUGAAUACUUCGUCCCUUUGCAGACAUUGUGAAUACAGUUUAACUCUAAUCACCCUUUCUUCCCUUUGAAAAGAUAAUUAUUAUAGAAAUGUUCAGCAUUUUCUCUUCGUUGUUCCACAUGUAUGUGAACCACAAAUUUUUUCUAUCACUGAAUGAUUAGAGGUAGAGACUAUGAUUUAUCAUAAAUUAAUAAUACAAAUAUAUCAAAUCAUAUUACUAGUAAAUCAAUGGUUUUUCACUAUUUACUACAUUUUUCCCUUUAGUAUAUAAAUCUUGUUACUUAAUGAUUGCAGUGAAAUUGUAAGAAGAAUGAGAUUGAUUUAUCAAGCCAAUAAAGAAAAGAGAGUGGAAAUGAUCUAGUCCAUAAAUUAAGGGUCCAAUUAUAAGCAUAGGUUAAUUAUUAUAGGAAAUUCUUUUACAUUUAAUACAAUUUUUAUCAAAUUCUAGAAAAAAUAAAUGCAUUAAAAACACCUUUUUCUUUAAAUGUCAUCUUAACAUGAUCAAUGUCAUUAAGUAGGUAGGGGUUAAUAUUUUCCAUUAGAUUAAUUGUUAUUUGUAUAACUGAAACUAGUUGUCAUUGUUGAAACUGAGUGCAUUAUUGAGGACUUAGUUCCUAAUGUAUAGUUAUUAGCGGAUUGAAUGCAUUUUAAGUCGUUUUCACCAUCAUCAGUUUCUCCUCCAUGUUGUUGUGCUUUGCCUAUUGGAAACUUCUAUCAAACAACUGUUACUUUGUCUUUACUUUGAGCUCAAAAGAGUACUUAUGAGAUAUAGCUCUUUCAGAGUUGAUAAUCUAUGGAGGUCUUAUUUGCUUUCCACCUCGGUUGUAUACAAAAAAAAAGAAGGUCAAUGUCUGAAUGUUGUUACUCUUUUUUUUUUUUUUUUUUUACUUUGGUGGUUAGAGGAGUACCCUCUUUACAAGAAAAUAUUGUGUGAAACUCAUAUACAAGUGUAAGUUUUUAUUAUCUUAUUUUGAUCAAAUUUAUAUCUAAUGUAGAUUUUUUAUUUAAGUAAUAUAAAAAGGAAUAUAAAUUUUUGCUGUUUUUAGAAUUUCCUCUAGUGGGCAGUGUUAUUUAAAGCAGCGAUUGAGAAAAUGGCAGACUUGAUCUGUGUUCAGCUCUCUGUUAUUUGGGUCUGAUAUAAUUUAUUGGCGUUGGAAACCUCAGCCAGCUACCCUACAUUGGUACAUACUUCUUGCAGACCAUCGUUUCGUUCUUUUUAUUACUAUCAUUUUCUUUAACCAAAUGUGAAACUCUCAAAGAUGGCUAUGGAAAGUUUCAGGGUUUUCUUCUUUGUUCUACUCCUCGCUGCCUCUCCUCUUCUCCAAGAUCUGUAAAUUACUAUUUCAGAUUGUUACGAGCUAAUAAAUUAGCAGGAUUUUUAGCUUAAGUGAUACGAGACGUUUUGGCCUGUUAGUGAUACGGGGCGUUUUGUGUCUAACAGAACAAUCCACAUCAGCAUGUUGUAAUUCUUUUAAAUGUUGCAUGUUUUGCAUGGCAGCGAUUAUCAAGGAAAAUACCAGUACUCAAUCUGUGAUCUCCCUUCUUCUCUCUUUAUACUCUUUUCUUCCUCUUCUUCUUCUCCCAAUUUCUUUGCUCGAUUUUAGUUCUUAACAAGGGUAUCAGAGCCUCUACGAUCCCUUGUGAUGGUCGGUGAUGGAAUAUCGACACGAUUACAGAAAGAAGUGGGUAGUAUGCAACAGGAGAUUUCCAAACUUCACGAUGACAUCGCCCGAGUGGAAUCCAAGCUGGAGCAUCGACUGCAGGAAUUUAAAAUUGAGAUUCAGGGAGAUCUUCAGGCGUUGAUGAGUCAAUAUUUUGGGCCACCUCCCGUAGGAUCAUCGGCAAAUGCCUCCGAGGAUAAGGGCAAAGGAGUUUUGGGGGCACCUCCGGGGUUUUUACUUAAGCACACGGAGUUACCUCAGAUGCAGACAGAUCCAUUGGCUACGAAUGGGAGUAGUGUACAGAUGAACAAUUUUUCCCAUGUGACGGGAGUUUUUGCUAAUUAAAGCCGAUUGGAGUGCCCCAAGUUCAAUAGGACAGAUUUUCGGGGUUGGUGGACCAAGUUGGAACAGUAUUUCGAAGCAGAGGGAAUACCUGAUGUUAGCAAAGUCCGGUUGGUGAUGCUGAACUUGGAGGGAAGAGCAUUGGAAUGGCAUCAUUUUUACUCUCAAUGAAAUGGAGGGCUGCAAAUGUUGUCGUGGCCAGCAUAUUUAAAGAGUCUUUAGGACCGCUUUGGGGGUGGAUCGUCUGGGGAUCCUAUGAGAGAAUUAGUUAACUUGAAACAACAAGGUACGGUUGAUGAGUUUCAAGAUCUCUUUGUAGGUUUGCUUAAUCAAUUGCAAUUGCAUGAAUCGUAUGCUCUUAGCAUUUUCUUGGGCAAUUUGAAAGCUAAGAUAGGCCAUUAUCUAGAUCUAUUUUCACCAUCGACGUUGAUGGAAGCUUUUCAACUAGCUAAAAAAAUCGAAAUAUUAAUUUUCCAGUCAGGAAAAGGCCCCACGAUGUUGGGGGUUAAUUCAUCCCGAUCAGUUAGCAGCUCGCAUAAUGCAUCGAGGUAUCCUUCAUUCUCCACAAGAUCAGGGGUUAGUGGUCAAUCGGCUACUAGGAUUUCAUCAAUCAACUCGGGGGCAAGGAACAUAUCUUCAACAGUGAUAGCUGAAAGGAAGCAGAAAGGUUUAUGUUAUUGGUGUGGAGCUAAAUAUCAGGCAGGUCAUAAGUGCAUGAAAUCCCAGCUUUAUCAAGUUUUAUUGGAACCUUAUUCUGAUGAAGAGACUGAGGAGUUUCAGGAAUGUUCGGACAAGUUGGAAGGCAAUAGGAAUGGGGAGGAUGAUCUUCAAUCUCCUACCGUCUCUCUGAAUGCUCUUACUGGAAUGCAAGGGCAUAGCACAAUGAGGAUGGCUGCCAAAGUGGGAAGUCAGUGGGCUAUUAUUUUAGUCGACUCUGGUAGUACUCACAAUUUCAUUGGCACCAAAUUGGUUCAGAGAUUGUCUCUACCUGUGGUCUGUCAGGAGCAAUUGAGAGUAUCUGUAGCAAAUGGCAGCUGCUUGUUUACCAAAGGCUUGUGCAGAGAGGUCAAAUGGAAGGUACAAAGUCAUAUAUUCACUACUGACUUCAAGGUGUUGGCUUUGAAAAAGUGCGACAUCGUGUUGGGGGUGCAAUGGCUGCUGACACUUGGGGACAUUAUGUGGAAUUUUGGGGCGUUAACCAUGUAGUUUAGUGUAGCAGGGGAACCUUAUAUCCUUCAAGGCAUAGCCCGGGGUCAUUGGCAGUUGGGAAUUUAGAAUGUAAACCAAGAUGUUUUGUAAGAGUGGGACACUUUUUGAGACCUUUUAAGCAGUACUAAGCUCACCCGAGCAAGUGAUGCUCUCGAUUCAGGGGGAUAAGAACCAGGGAACACACCUCUAGGAAUUGUUGAACGAAUUUGAUGACGUAUUUAAAGUCCCUAAAGGGCUGCCACCUCGCAGACUGCAUGACCACAAAAUCCCGUUAAAGAUGAGACAACAGUAAUUAAAAUGCGUCCUUAUAGGUAUCCAGUGUUUCAAAAAACUGAAAUGGAGAAGCUCAUUCAGGAAAUGUUAGAGGCGGGGAUCAUUCGCGACAGUACCAGUUCUUUUGCCUCUCCCAUCGUGAUGGUUAAGAAAAAAGAUGGUAGUUGGAGGUUAUGCGUGGAUUAUAGACAACUGAAUCAACAUACGGUCAAAGACAAGUUCCCUAUUCCGGUGAUUGAGGAAUUAUUGGAUGAGCUAGGGGAGGCUACGGUAUUCUCCAAACUGGAUUUAAGGUCUGGGUACCAUCAAAUUCGUAUGUGGGAGCCGGAUAUACAUAAAACAGCAUUUCGAACUCAUGAGGGGCACUAUGAAUUCUUAGUGAUGCCCUUUGGCCUCACGAAUGCCCCAUCAAGCUUCCAAGCUCUCAUGAAUGUAGUUUUCAAGCCUUUGUUGCGGAAAUUUGUAUUGGUAUUUUUCGAUGACAUACUUGUUUACUCAAAAUCAUGGUCAGAUCAUCUGCAACAUUUGCGGUCAGUUCUCUCGGUUUUGAGGAAGCAGCAGCUGUAUGCAAAAGGGACAAAAUGCUGUUUUGGGUCUUCACAAGUCCAUUAUUUGGGACAUGUUCUACAAGCUGGUACCGUCUCUAUGGAUACUUCAAAAAUUGAAUGCAUACUCGCUUAGGCCGUCCCUCGUUCAGUAAAAGAAUUGCGUAGCUUUCUUGGGCUCACUGGGUAUUACAGGCGGUUUAUCAAGAAUUAUGGAUUGAUGGCUCGACCAUUAACUGAUUUACUGAAGAAGAACACGUGGGAGUGGUCUGACCGAGCUACUGACGCUUUUCAGACAUUAAAACAAGCUAUAAGCUCAGCUCCUGUGCUAGCGCUCCCAAAUUUUCAGCUGGAAUUUGUGGUCGACACUGAUGCUAGUGGCAUGGGCGUUGGUGCAGUCUUACAGCAACGGGGUAGACCGAUUGCCUUCUUUAGCAAAGCUCUCGGAAUCUGCCAUCAAGCUUUGUCUAUUUAUGAGAAGAAGAUGUUGGCAGUCUUGUUGGCGGUUAAAAAGUGGCAUCCCUACCUAGUUGGUAGGCAUUUUAAAAUCAGGACAGACCACCAAAGUUUGAGAUUUUUGUCGGACCAAGUGGCUGUUACUCCGUUUCAGCAAAGGUGGGUGGCAAAAAUGCUGGGAUAUGAUUUUGAGGUGGUUUACAAAAAAGGAAUUAACAACAAAGUGGCUGACGCUUUGUCUCGACAACCUCAGUCCAUUCCUUGUCAAUAUUUCCAGCUAACCACUUGUUCAGUAAUUUCAGGUCUGCUCGAGCAGGUACAACAUUCAUAUACGGUGGAUGAAAAGUUACAGAAGCUUAUCCAGAAGGUUUCCCAAACUCAGAAUAAUGAUCCAAAAUAUACUUGGGAUGGUCGAUUUGUUGUGCGGAAGCGUGUAAAAGAGUAAAAUUAUUGUACUAAAAAAUCACACUAAGUUCAAUUCCCAGGAAAGAGAGGUGGAUCACAAGGAUCGCUUAAGUACCAGGUCUUUCCUAGCCAGAAUAUCCCUCAAUCGUAAUUUAAUAGCACAAUAAAUCACUACAAUCACACACACAAUUCAUGCAGAAUAAUACAAUAAAGAACACAAGAAUUUAACGAGGUUCAGCAAAUUUUGCCUACGACCUCGGGCACUACCAAAUAUAUUUCACUCCAAAAUACAAGUGAGAAUUUACAAAGAGAGAGAGAGAAAACAAUGCCUUAAGUAGAGAAUGGCAAGUUUGAGAUACAGAAUGAGAGAUGGUUAUGCCUAUUUAUAGUUGAGGUUCAGGGAUCAACUUGCAAAGUCACUUUACAAUUUAGGGACCAUAUAUUACAAAUAUCUCAGAUUUUAUUAUGCCAAUAUCUCGAUACCCAUAUCUUUGACUUUCCAAUAUUUGAUACCCAUAUCUUUGACUUUCCAAUAUUUGAUACACAUAUCUUUGACUUUCCAUUAUUUGAUACCCAUAUAUUUGAUUUUCCAUAAAUAUGGAUAAUUCCCAAUAAUCUCCACCUUGAAGAUUUGAUUUGAGUAAUCUUAUCUUCACACAAUUCUCUCUGCCUUUGUCAACAACACUUGAUAGCGCCUUCUUCAACUGUUAAACAUGCAGAAUAUUGAUCAAGUUCAAACAAUGUUCGAACUUGAUUGUUGUUACCACCUUGGUCAUCAUAUCUGCGGGAUUAUCUGCAGUCUUAAUCUUCUGAAGGUGAAUUUUCCCCUCAUCAAUAAUUUCCCGCACAAAGUGGAAACGUACAUCGAUAUGCUUUGUACGUGCAUGAUAGACUUGAUUCUUUGCUAAAUGAAUAGCACUUUGACUAUCACAAUACACAUUAAUAUGCUCCUGGACCAAUCCCAAGGUUUUACCCAUACCUUGUAACCAAAUAGCUUCCUUUACAGCCUCUGUUACAGCCAUGUAUUCAGCUUCUGUGGUUGACAACGCAACUGUAGACUGCAGUGUAGACUUCCAACUUAUUGGUCCUCUAGCAAGAGUAAACACAUAACCAGUGGUUGAUCUUCGUUUGUCCAAAUCACCGGCAUAAUCAGAAUCAACGUACCCAACAACACCUUUACCAAGUGUAGUAUCCUGCUUGAACAGUAAUCCAAUAUCCAUGGUCUUAUGAAUAUACCGUAGAAUCCAUUUCACAGCUUGCCAAUGUCCUUUUCCAGGAUUAUGCAUAUACCUGCUCACUAUACUAACUGCCUGUGAAAUGUCGGGUCUUGUACACACCAUUGCAUACAUCAAGCUACCUACUGCAUUAGAAUACGGAACUUGUAACAUGUAUUCUCGUUCCGUAUUCGUCGAAGGAGAUAGUUGUGUAGAAAGCUUGAAAUGAGAAGCCAACGGGGUACUUACAGGUUUUGUCUGCUCGUUCAUGCCAAACUGCUGUAGUACCUUUUUCAAAUACUGCUUCUGAGACAAGCUAACUCUAUCAUGAGCUCUAUCUCUCCAUAUUUCCAUGCCGAGGAUCUUUUUAGCUUCUCCUAGAUCUUUCAUCUCAAACUCGAGAUUGAGUUGAGUCUUCAAUCUUUCAAUCUCAACUUUGCUCUUAGAUGCUAUUAGCAUAUCAUCAACAUAUAAGAGCAAGUAUAUGAAAGUUCCUUCUUGUAGCUUCUGAAAAUACACGCAAUGAUCAAAUUUACUUCUUGUGUACCUUUGCCCUUUCAUGAACUGAUCAAAUCGCUUGUACCACUGCCUCGGAGAUUGCUUCAAUCCAUAAAGUGACUUUGUCAGUUUGCAAACCCAAUUUUCUUUUCCAGUAACCUUGAAUCCAUCUGGCUGAGUCAUAUAGAUUUCCUCUUCCAAAUCACCGUGUAAAAACGCGGUCUUCACAUCAAGCUGAACUAGUUCAAGAUCAUAUUGCGCAACCAAGGCUAGCAAAAUCCGAAUAGACGAAUGCUUCACAACUGGAGAAAACACUUCAUUGUAGUCUAUUCCUUCUUUCUGAGCGUAACCCUUUGCUACUAAUCUAGCCUUGUAUCGAAUUUCAUUUUUAUCAGGAAAUCCUUCCUUCUUUGCAUAUACCCAUUUGCAUCCAAUUGCCUUCUUUCCCUUGGGUAGUGUCACCAACUCUCAGGUCUUAUUUUUAUGAAGAGACUGCAUUUCUUCAUUCAUUGCUUGCUUCCACUUUACACCAUCAGGGUUACUUAUUACUUCUGUGUAAGUAGAAGGAAUAUCAUCAUAUGUAAUUGGAAGUGCAUAGGCCACUAUAUCAUCAAAGCGAGCAGGCUUACGAAUCUCUCUUCUUGGCCUUCUAUAUGCAAUUGAAUCUUGUUGCUGUAGAGAUUCUUGGGUAGGAACCUCUUCAUCAUUUGUCCCUUCAAUAUUAGCUGGAUCAUCGUUAACCUUUUCAAGCUCCACCUGCUGCAAAGUACUACUGGUUUUGUCAUCCUUUUGUGUAUCCUUGUACUUCAACAUGGUUGAUUCAUCAAAAGUCACAUCUCUACUGAAAACAAUCUUCCUUGUAUCAGGACACCAGAGACGAUAUCCUUUUACUCCAUCAGUUAUACCCAAGAAUAAUGCUUUCUUUGCUCCUGGGUCUAACUUAGAUUCUUUUACAUGAUAAUAUGCAGUGGAACCAAAUACAUGCAAAGAAUCAUAAUCAGUAGCAGAUUUACCAGUCCACAUCUCCAUAGGAGUUUUUCCAUUUAUUGCAGCUGAUGGCAAACGGUUAAUUAGAUGGCACGCAUAUGUAACUGCCUCAGCCCAAAAUUCUUUGCCCAAUCCAGCAUUGGACAACAUACAUCGAACUUUCUCCAGUAUAGUUCGAUUCAUUCGUUCUGCCACCCCAUUUUGCUGUGGUGUAUCCCGAACAGUGAAGUGUCGCACAAUGCCCUCAUCUUGGCAUACUUGUAGAAAUGGAUCGUUUUUGUACUCAGUACCAUUAUCUGAUCGAAGUCGUUUGACCUUUCGACCAGUCUGAGUCUCCACCAUCUUCUUCCAUUUAGAAAUGCAUCCAAAAUUUCACUUUUUAUUUUCAUUAGAUACACCCAUACUUUUCUUGAAUAAUCAUCAACAAAAGUAACAAAAUAGUGCAUACCUCCCAAAGAAGCUACUUUGGUAGGUCCCCACACAUCACUGUGAACGUAGUCCAGAAUUCCUUUCGUAUUGUGAAUUGCUGGACCAAAUUUUACCCUCUUCUGCUUGCCCAGAACACAAUGUUCACAGAAUUCCAUUUUGCAAGAAUUUGCACCUUUCAAUAAGCCUUGCUUCACCAAUGUCUGCAAAGCUUUUUCACCAGCAUGUCCCAAUCGCAUAUGCCAUAAUCUGGUAGCCUCUGAAUCUACAUCUUUUGUAGAAACUGUUGAUGUUGAUCCAAUAACUGUACUUCCAUUUAAAAAAUACAAGUUAUUUCUUCUUGUGCCUUUCAUCACCGUCAGUUGCCCAGCUACUACUUUUAGUAAUCCAUCUCUCAAAGUGAUUGUGAGCCCUUUAGAUUCUAGGGCACCUAAUGAGAUGAGAUUUUUCUUCAGGCUAGGUACGUAGCGAACAUCUGUCAAGACUUGGAUUGAGCCGUCGUGAUUCUUCAAUUGGACUGUACCAACUUCCAUUGUCUUACAAGCACUAUCAUUUCCCAUAAGAACAAUUCCACCUUCUAGCUCUUUAAGACUAGAAAACCAGUCCCUAUUAGGACACAUAUGGUAAGUACAUCCUGAAUCCAAAAUCCACUCAUCCGUUUGACAUGCCAUUGCCAUGCCAACCAAGCUAAAGUCUGACUCCUCAUCAUGCUCCGCUACACAUGCAUCAGAAAUAGCUUUACCCUUUUGUAACUUAGGACAAUUCUUUUUCCAAUGCCCUUUCUCACGACAAAAAGCACAUUCAUCUUUGGCAGGUCUCCCUUUGGACUUACUCCUUCUACCAGAUUUGUUGCUGCGCGAACGACUUCUUACUGUUAAGACUUCUGUAGUUGUAUCUCUGUGAUCUUUUUUAUCUUUCUUUCGAGUCUCAGAUCUAUACAAUGCACUACAGACUGCAUCAAAUGUGAUUGUAUCCUUCCCAUGAAGCAAUGUGGUGGUAAGAUGAUCAUAUUCAUCAGGAAGAGAAUUCAACAACAGUAAUGCCUUGUCUUCAUCUUCAAAUUUCUCAUCCAAAUUUAGCAAGUCUGCUAAAAUUUUAUUGAAUGAGUUCACAUGGUCAUUCAUCGAUAUACCGAGUGCAUACGUGAAUCGAUAAAGUUUCUUUUUCAUAUAAAGCCUAUUUUCAAGACUUUUUGUUAGAAACUUUUCUUCCAGUGUAUCCCACAACUUUUUCGCUGAUGUCUCCCUCAUGACAGAGUACUUCUGCUCUUUGGCCAAACAUAGGCGAAUUGUUCCACAUGCCUGUCUAUUGAUCUUGGCCCACUCCUUGUCAUCCAUCUUGUCAGGUUUUUCUUCAAGGGCUAUAUCCAGCUCUUGCUGACAUAAGACAUCCAGGAUCUCACAUUGCCACAUACCAAAAUUAUUGGUACCAUCAAAUUUCUCUACUUCAAAUUUCGCAUUGGUCACAGUAGUCUUUGACGAUGACUUUUCCAUUUUUUUCUCCUCAAUCCCAACUACAGUACGUGAACAGUGCCGUGAACGAUCGUAUUCCCCAAGUACGAAUCUAGCUCUGAUACCAAUUGUUGUGCGGAAGCGUGUAAAAGAGUAAAAUUAUUGUACUAAAAAAUCACACUAAGUUCAAUUCCCAGGAAAGAGAGGUGGAUCACAAGGAUCGCUUAAGUACCAGGUCUUUCCUAGCCAGAAUAUCCCUCAAUCGUAAUUUAAUAGCACAAUAAAUCACUACAAUCAAACACAAUUCAUGCAGAAUAAUACAAUAAAGAACACAAGAAUUUAACGAGGUUCAGCAAAUUUUGCCUACGUCCUCGGGCACUACCAAAUAUAUUUCAUUCCAAAAUACAAGUGAGAAUUUACAAAGAGAGAGAGAGAAAACAAUGCCUUAAGUAGAGAAUGGCAAGUUUGAGAUACAGAAUGAGAGAUGGUUAUGCCUAUUUAUAGUUGAGGUUCAGGGAUCAACUUGCAAAGUCACUUUACAAUUUAGGGACCAUAUAUUGCAAAUAUCUCAGAUUUUAUUAUGCCAAUAUCUCGAUACCCAUAUCUUUGACUUUCCAAUAUUUGAUACCAAUAUCUUUGACUUUCCAAUAUUUGAUACCCAUAUCUUUGACUUUCCAUUAUUUGAUACCCAUAUCUUUGAUUUUCCAUAAAUAUGGAUAAUUCCCAAUACGAUUUUUAUUUAGAAAAGGGAAGAUUAUGGUGGGCAGACUCCCUUACUUGCGUCGAGAAUUGUUUUCGCAUUUUCAUUCCAGUUCUAUUGGAGGGCACUCGGGGGUGCAUGUCACCAGGAAAAGAAUCUCUAGUCAGUUGUACUGGAAGGGACUAACAAAGGAUGUUAAGCAAUGGAUCUGGGAAUGCUUAGUAUGUCAAAAGUGCAAGGGAGAAUCAGUGGCGUCUCCUGGUCUGUUACAGCCCCUACCGAUACCUGAGAGAGCUUGGUCGGUGAUCAGCAUGGAUUUUAUAGAAGGGUUACCAACUUCCAAUAAGAAGAACUCCAUUCUUGUAGUGGUUGACCAUUUCACCAAAUAUGGUCACUUCUUGGCGUUGAGUCAUCCAUAUACGGCAAAGGAAGUAGCUCAAGAAUACUUGAAUCACGUUUAUAAAUUGCAUGACUUGCCUAAAUCUAUAAUCUCUGACAGGGAUAGAAUUUUCACUAGUAGUUUUUGGCAGGAGCUAUUUAGGCAAUCGAGAACUAAGCUUUUGUUGUCGACGGCCUACCAUCCACAAACUGACGGUCAGACGAAAGUCCUAAAUCGUUGUUUGGAAAAUUAUUUGCGGUGUAUGACUGGGGAAACUCCAGCGCAGUGGGUUUAUUGGUUGCCUUUAGCCGAAUGGUGGUAUAACACAUCUUAUCACUCCUCUAUCCAGCUUACGCCGUAUGAAGCACUGUAUAGGCAGCCUCCUCCUACUCACAUGCCAUAUUUGGCCGGGGCUUCAUCCGUAGCUGUGGUGGAUCGCAGUCUACUAACAAGAGAAGUUGCUCGGAGAUUACUCCAUUUUUGUCUUAAGAAAGCCCAAGCACGUAUGAAACAAAUGGCAGACAGAGACCGAUCGGAACGCAGUUUCCAGGUUGGCGACUUGGUUUACUUACGCUUACAACCGUACAGGCAACAAUCCAUUAGGAAGGUCUCUAAUCAGAAAUUAUCUCCGAAGUAUUACGGCCCUUUUCCGGUAAUAAAGAAAGUGGGAAUAGUGGCUUAUACUUUGCAGCUUCCCCAGAAUUCAAGGAUUCAUCCGACUUUCCAUGUAUCUCAGUUGAAGAAACAUGUUGGAUUGGCUCCAGUUCAGGCUCACUUACCCCUGGUGGAUGAUCAUGGUGCCUUAGAAAAAGUGCCAAUUCGCAUUGCGGACCGGAGGAUAGUUAAGAAAGGGGACCAAGCAGUAACUGAGGUAUUAGUGGAGUGGGCUAAUUCCUUCCCUGAAGAUGCAACUUGGGAGUCCUUCACUGCAUUCCAGAACAGAUUUCCAAAAUUUCAGCCUUGAGGACAAGGCUGUUCUUUCAGCAAGGGAGUAUUGUUACGAGCUAAUAAAUUAGCAGGAUUUUUAGCUUAAGUGAUACGGGGCGUUUUGUGUCUAACAGAACAAUCCACAUCAGCACGUUGUAAUUCUUUUAAAUGUUGCAUGUUUUGCAUGGCAGCUAUUAUCAAGGAAAAUACCAGUACUCAAUCUGUGAUCUCCCUUCUUCUCUCUUUAUACUCUUUUCUUCCUCUUCUUCUUCUCCCAAUUUCUCUGCUCGAUUUUAGUUCUUAACACAGAUCUAAAUCUAUUAUCCUCUUUGAUUAAACAUUAAAUAGCUAUUUCUGCUUACCUAUCGCCGACUCUGGAUCUUACUUUUGGAUUUUCCUCUUGCAUUCUUACGUCCCAUUGUUUUGAUCUAAAUUGAUUUUCUUUUCUUUUGAUUCAUGAUUCGAUAAGUGUGAAUUUGGCGUGAUUUCUUUGUUUUCUAAAUCUUGGUUGCAUUGCAUGCCCUUGACAUUUCAUUUUCAUUUGAUUUCUUUUUCAGAAAACAGACAAGCUUGGCCAUCGUUUUUUUACCUUUUCUACCGAUACUUUAGUGGUUAUUUAGCUUUCUUUUUUGCGCUAAGAAAAGGCAACGAAAAGCGUUCUUGUCAAGCACUUCUCUUUUUUGGCUAAAAUGCUUGUCAACUACUUUGAUGCUCUUUUCUGUAACAUUCUUGAAGUAGUAUUUCCAGAGUUGAAUUUGUUUGUUGCAUUUUUUUUGUUUACCUUUUGUUGAUCAUAAAUUAAUAAAUAGAUAAUUAAAUUGUCAAUAUUGUUUUAAAUUAUGUUGUGACUUGAAUUUUUUUCUUUUGUGUGAUAGUUGCUAGGUGUCAAUCAGAAGCAGACGUAGAUGUUGCUGAAGCUGUUGAAGGAGGCGAGCUUGGGAUUGUUGGCGAGGAUUUUCAGGAUUUUGGUGAUGGGAAUUUUGGCCCAGCGCCGGGAGUUGAAACUGUAUGCGUUUUCCUCAAAACUAGUGCGAAAUGUAAGAACAUUUCGAUGUAUGAUUUUGUUAGUGAUGUGCAUUUUUAUUUGAUUGGAAAUGGUUAACCUCUUCCCCCCCCCCCCCUCUCUUGGCAGUGGUUGUGGCUGGAGAAGAGACUGAACUUUUAGUUGGGAUGGAAAAUGUUGGUAAUUAGUUUUAUUUCACAACAUUACUGGCUCCUUUUACAAUGCAAUUUGAUGUUAUGUGUUCAAAUAAGUUAAUUUAUCUGUCCUUGUUCAGUUCAUUUGCUAGAUUUCAAUGCUUACCAGUUUUGCAUUAGCCAUGCCAGUCCUCUCUUAUGCUUAGCUUACUUUUUAAAAUUGCAGGGGGUCACCUUUAAAUAUCAUUGCAAUCCAAGCAAGUGUUCAUCUCCCUUUUGAUCAUCGAAUGCUUGUACAAAAUCUUACAGCGCAGGUAAUCAUAGGUUUUCAUAAUAUUGUUCUGGUAAUAUUUUCAUAACUCAUGCUUUGGUAGCUAGUGCAGUUUUCAUUUUGAUUGAUUUCUAUGCUUAAUUUCUAUCAUUUCCUAAUUUAAAAACUUUACAUUAUUGAAUAUCUUGCCUUUUAGUUUUUUUUAAGUUAAUGCAUUCAUUGUUUUUUCCUCUUCUAGAUCAUUAUUUGCUGCUUAUCCUAUUUUGUAGUCUACUUGGUUAAAAGGUGUUGACUAAAUCUAUGGUAUCUUUAUUGAAUGUCUUAAAUAUCCAUUAUCAAACAUGUGGCUAGUGAUGAGUUUUAUGUGCUGUGACUGAUUCUUUUGUGUUCCUAUUGCUACUGCUUACCUACUUUAAUGAGCUUUAACAGUGAUAGUGCAGUUCAUUAUUUUUGCCCAAUAAUAUGAAGAUGGAUGUUGAACUUGCAUUUAGAUUGGUUUAAGAAACGUUGGCAGAGUGUGUUACUAAUGUAGGUUUUGCUGUGUCUUUAACUUUCAGGCUAGACCCUACAUUGAUUUUGUGAUUAUACCGAGUAUAUCAAUACAGUAUAUAGAUAUCAUACUCUAAUUGCUCACUGCAAUUGUAAUGUUUUGCUGCUGGUUUUGACAGUUGGCUUUUUGUUUUCUUUUGUACUUUACCUUAAAGCCUAAACCCUAUAAAAUGCUUGUUGCUUUAUUUGAAAAGGAUCUUAAGCUUCUUCAUUGCUAAAACAUUAUGGCCUAUGUUGUUGGAUUGAAACUGCCUUGUGACUUUUGCAUGUAAAUUUUGUAACUGAAAGUGUGUUGUUUUAAUACAGACCUUCAACAAAGCAUCUGUGUCCCCUUCAGUGCAAGCUACUUUCCCUUACAUGUUUGCUGUUAGCAGGUACUUACAGGUAAAUAAAUACUCUGGGAGUUCUAUGCUUUAGAACUUUAUAUAAAUUCCUUUUUGUGAGGACAGUGUUGCAGUUAAGCUUACAUGUCUAAAACAUUGAUGCAGCCUGGAACUUUUGAUCUUGUGGGUACGAUUGUCUAUGAAAUUGACCAGAAACCAUACCAAAAUACAUUCUACAAUGGUACCGUUGAAGUUGUUGAGGCUGGUGGUUUCCUAAGUGUUGAGUCUGUUUUUCUUGUUACCCUUGGGAUUGCACUUCUUGUUCUCCUCGCCUUAUGGCUUCAUGGUCAAUUUCAGCGUACUACAAAGGUAUUGUAAUUGUGCCACCUUCUUCAGUUGUAUUAAUUUACUCUAGUAACUAUGUACUAAAAUAAAGUAUGCAUGAGACGGAAUUAACAUUUUCUUCAAACUAUUUGUUAUAAUACCUAAUCAAACAGGGCCUUUUGCUGAAUGAAAGUAUUGAUGGAUAUCUUGUAGAAAAGAGCACACCCACCAUGUAUACAUGGAGUAAAAUCUACUUUGUCCUAGCAUGAUUGACCUAUUUCAAAUUGUCCAGAAAGCUAUUGUGCUGUGAAUGUUAAGUAUUUGUAAAUUUUUUUGUUCUUGCACUUGCAAGGUUACUUUAUUGUUGCAUGCAUACUUGUAAGGAGAGAGAGACAGAAGGAAAAGUGCUUGCAUCUAUUUUUUCAUGUUUCUUGUAUUUCUUAUUUUUAAUUUUUUGCGGAGUGAACCUAAUAUGUUUGCCUUUAUUGUUUGUUAUUGCUAGAAAACUAAGAAGGCUCCAAAGGUGGAAGUCGGAAUUGGGACUACUGAUGCCUCAUUGGAUGAAUGGCUUCAGGUUAUGUAUCGUCAUUUACUUCCCAUAAUUUUCUAUUGCAGUUAUUGUGCUUUUUUUCUUUUCGGUCUGUUCACCCUCGACUACUCGUAGUAUGGACCUCUGUCUUAAAUACAUUAAAUAACAAUCUUAGUAGGGUUUAGCUGAAAAUUUCUUGAUUUGGAUGUCUUAAUUUUCAGGGAACUGCUUACACUCAGUCAGCUUCCAAAUCAAAGAAAAAGAAGUAGAUGGGGCAGUGUUUCUGAAGUUAGGCUAUUAUAACACAUGCUAGGCAUUUGGAAAAUUUCAAAGUGAAGGCACAAGUAGUUUGAGAAUUAGGCCAGGAAAAGGCAUACCUUGCCGUUGUAGCAUGUGAAAUUAAGCCUUUUUGAAGCAAAAAGAUACGAAGCAGAAGGUUCAAUUUUAUUUGAGGAAAAUUUCCGGGUAACAUAAUAUUUUCUUGCCCCAACCCACCAACAUUUGCUUCUUGUUUUCUAGGUUGUGGUAGAUAAAAAUUCUUGCUCAUGGAUUCCGGGUUUUGCUUGAUUGGUCUAUGCAAUUUCUCUCUCAAAAGAUUCCAAAGUCUAGUGGUUGUUGGUUAUUGUUUCUUGGACGGGAAUGAUAGUCAAACCGAUAAGAUCAUCAGUCUUUGGUUUGAUCUGUUCGUUCAGUUCAAAGUAAAUAAAUUUAUUACAAAUUUUAAAAAGAAUAUAAGAUCUAGUUUAAUCGUUUUGUACUAAUUCAUGGGUCAAUUUUUUGUUAGAUCAGUCCAAACAACAUUAUUGUUUGUAGUAUCAUUCUUUAUUUUUAAACAUGAUGGAGCAUAAAGGUUGGGACUUUAAAUUUUGUUGAAGACUAAUCGUAUUUUUAAUGAUGAAGGAGCUCGUCAUAUUAUUCUUACAGUUUUGUUUACAAAAAUAUGUUAUUUUUAAUUUACUCGAAUAAUUUGUUUAAUAAAAUUUACUCGAAUAAUAUCAACCUGUGAAUAUGCUGAAAUCAUCCAUCGUCGCAUAAUAUUGUUUUAGGCUUAAAAUGGAAGUCGUCCAAGAUGGGUCCAACUUCGACCACUAAUUUAAAGAACCCAAGUGUAUUACUAUAUAAAAUCCAAUUGUAGCUGAUGAGAUAAUACCUAAAUUUGCGGCAUUAAAACCCUCCACAUCUUUGAAUGUGACUAUUAAUCCAAAAAAUGUGCUUCAAUACCCUUUGCCCCACUCACAUAAUUUACAAUUUGUGAAUUUAUAUCAUCCACAAUUCAUCUGACCAAACAUUAGGGUGCAUAAUAAAUCACAGUACUCCCUAAUUUGCUCAAAUUCAGUAGUCUUUGACCCCACGUUUAUUUUGCGACUUGUACCUAUAUUUUCAACAUCAAUUCUUUUCAAGAUUUUAUCAACAGCUUGAUGCUUCUUUUAUAAAAAGAAAAAUUAAUUUCUUUGAUGUGAUCAUGUUUGUUGAUUUCAUUUUUCUUUUAAGUAUACUAUUAUCGUAUAAACAGUCCUUUUAUCAGAUAAAGACCUAUAAUUAUCUGAAAAAAUAACUAUCGAAAUCCAUGAUCAAAAAACAAAUGUCGAAAUCCAUUAUCUUUUCAAGGCAUCAUUAAGUACUAGUUCACGUGAAGAAUAUAAUAGUAUAUGUUUUAAAUAAUCAAUGCAAUAAAAAUAUUAUUAUUAACAAUAUUUUGUGAAAUAAAGUAAUUUAUAUAAUUUAUAAAUUCAUGAACCAAUUCAUAUUAAAAUAAUUCUAUUUUUAUUUAAAUUCAAAUUUUAUAUAAUAAAGAUGAUAAUAUAAUUUAAUUAAUGUUUAUGAUUUCAUAACGUAUUAGGCAAUGAAAAUAGGUAAUGUGAAUAAUAAUGUGUAAAUUUUGCUUAAUUAUAAAAUAUAUAAUAAAUAACUAAAAAUACAAUCUGUGUAAAAAAAAAGCAUAAUAAUUUAUUUAGCCUUCCAACUUUACAAAAAAAGUCAUUUUAACAUUUCAUUUCAUUUUCUGUCUUUUUUAGCUUUUAAACUUACAUUUUUUUUAUCAAAUCAUUUUAAAAUAGAUGGAAAAGUGUUUUCUAACUUUGCUGAUGUGGCAUACAUAUGGAUUGCCACGUGUAUUUAAUUAAUUUUUUAAAAUUUUAAAAAUUCAAAAAAUAUUUUUAAAAAUGAAAAAUCAUUAAAAUUAUUUUAAAUUUUUUAAAAAUUAAUUAAAUAAUAACAUGUCAUCCACAUGUGUGCCAAAACAACAAAGUUAACAAGCAUACUUAAAUGGAAGACUAAAAUUAAUAUUUUUUUAUAAAAUUGGAGAACCAAAAAUUUAAUUAUACCUAAAAAAAAUAGUUUCUUUUCUUCAACUAAAUAAAAAUUUUAUUAAUGAAAAACAAAGUACACUGAAAAACUCCUUGGUUUGAGGGGACUUUAACCUCUUAUUCAAUAAUUCUUUAUUGAAUACAAUGCCCUAAUCUAAUAGCUUAUAAUCCACAACACGAAACCGGCUAACAAAGCACUCUUCAACACCAAAAUAGAAACUAAUACAAAUCAACAUUUUUAAUCUUUCUAAACCACCUUUACCGUAAUCCAAAUAAAAUAAAUAACUAUAUUCAGAAACUUUUUAGGAAGACCGGGAUUAAAUUGUAUAUUUUUAUGAUAGUGAAAAUGUAAUUUCACCAUUUUAUAGUCUAUAUCUUUAUAAUUUUUAGAAGGAAAAAUAUAAUUUUACCCUUACUAAUUUAAAAUUUUAUAGAUUAUAAAGAGUUUAAAUAGAAAAUUAUCCAUUUUAGGGGUGGAGUCCCAUGGUUAAAUGUAAAGAUUAGUGCACCAAAAAACAAUAAUAUCCCUUUACAAACUCGCUUCAUAAAUAAAUUCAUUUAACUUAUUAUUUUCUUUCCCUAUUCUUUUUAUCACCAGAAUGAAUACACAUUGCCAUCACAAUUGCCCUCAAACAGAGCUCAUAUCUUAAUAAAAUUCAAAUUGGUGAUAAAUAUAUUUAAUUUUUAUUAUAAUUAAUAAUGAGCAUGUAUAUAUGUUGUGCAGUAUUUACAAUUUUAAAAUAAUAUAUUGCUUCAUGGAUUUUAUUAAUGAGUGCAUUAAUAAAUCAACCACUUAUUUGUGAUUUGCACAUGAGAAUUAUUCAAAGGCUAUCAUAUCUAAAUUAACAUGCCAGUUUUGGCAAAGCUAGUAAAAUCUCAUUGAUGGCAAAAAGUAAGGGUAAAUUCGAAAUUUUCUUCAAUUUUGCUGGUAGCUUCAUCAUCACUUCUCUCAACGACUAUGCAAUGGCAGCUAUGGUCCCCAAGUUUAGGUCAUUAAUAAAUAAAUAAAAUAUCUUACAAAUUUUAGUCUAUGCUUUAUGCUCCAUAAGCUGAAAUUUUGAAUUUAUUUAAGUAGUUGCAAAAGAAUAUACAAUAUUGUUCGGAUGACUAAUAGAAAAGCAAUAAAUGACUAAUGAAAAAGCAAUUCAACAUUUAGGACUAUUAAUUGAAGUCAUUAGUUGGUUGAUUCACGUGAAGAUGUCAACUUUAUAUACAAAACUAUGCAAGGAUGUGGGAAAGUUGAGACUUAUAUGGUUUAAUUUAAUAUUUGUAAGGACUGAUUUGAUAGUUGUAUGCUGCUUUGCAAUUAACGUUUUUGUAAUUCAACCAAAAAUCAUGUAUAAGCAAGGCAAAGAUUAUAUUUAUGAAAGUGAGUAAGUAGGUUUAAACAGACAGCCUGUUUGUAGUUGAGAACUCAUUGAAUGAAAGGUAAUGUCAUUUGCACGAUGAAGCUGGCGUGGCACACAUUUCUUUUUCAAACCAUAUAACAGCAAAAGGGGUGGGGGGUCCCCAAUUCAUGUGAGGCUUUAAGUGAGGUGUCGGUGAGGCUUUGAAUUUGAUUUCCUUUAAGAUCAUUAUAUAAUAAAGCCUCUGUAUAUGCAAUCUGAUCAUCAUCACUCAAAGAUUAUUUGGUUAUGUGCUUGGCAGAUGCAAAUAAGCUGAUAUUAUUUUGAUUUGGUUUCCUAAAUCGUUGGGAGGAGGGACUGUAAAAAAGCAUAGGUUCCCAAUGCAGAUCCUCCCGUUUCGAGGAGGCGCACUUGUGUGCUUCAUUUCUUCCUUGUUAUUUGUUGCCAGUUUUUGCAAAGCCGAUGCUAAAACAGUCGAGGUUGUCGGGGCUGGUGAGUGCGCAGAUUGUGCAGAGAAUAACUUGGAGAUUAGCCAGGCUUUUUCAGGUACGUACUUUGAUCACCUACUCAUGCAUGCAUGCAUAUAUUGAGCUCGAGUAGGACUACGGGACUGCAUUAUUUUUGUAUUAUGUAGGGUUACUUUAACACUGAUGAUAUCCAUAAUAUUAUUGUUAUUAAUUUGUGUUUCUUUUUACAGGGCUACGAGUAAGCAUAGACUGCAAGCCCGAAAAUGGGAAGAACUUUAAAACACGAGGAUCAGGGGAGCUUGAUAAACAAGGCAAUUUUAAAGUAUUCGUUCCAGAGGAUUUGGUUGAAAAUGGGGAACUGAAGGAAGAAUGCUAUGCACAGCUUCACAGUGUAUCGGCAGCACCUUGUCCCGCCCAUGAUGGCUUGGAGUCGGCCAAGUUAGUGUUGAAGUCCAGGAGUGAUGGGAAACACGGGUUUGGGUUAAAAGGAAAGCUCAGAUUCUCACCUCUAACCUGUGCUUCUGCCUUCUUUUGGCCUCACUUUAAGUUUCCUCCCUUGCCUAAGUGGAACCAUCCCCCUUUGCCCAAGUUUCCACUUCCCCCAUUCAAAGGCUUCCACCACCAUUAUCCAAUAAUCCCUCCCAUCUACAAGAAACCUCUUCCGCCACCGUCCCCGGUGUACAAGCCCCCUCCAGUUCCCGUAAACCCACCUGUUCCAAUCUAUAAACCUCCACCAGUUCCAGUCUAUAAACCUCCUCCAGUUCCAGUAAAACCACUUCCUCCACCUGUUCCAAUCUACAAACCUCCACCAGUUGAAAAACCACAUCCUCCACCUGUUCCAGUCUAUAAACCUCCACCAGUUCCAGUAUACAAGAAGCCAUGUCCUCCACCAGUUCCAGUCUAUAAAUCUCCUCCGGUUCCAGUAUACAAGAAACCGCAUCCUCCUCCAGUUCCAGUCUAUAAGAAACCACAUCCACCUCCAGUUCCAGUAUACAAGAAACCAUGUCCUCCCCCAGUUCCAGUCUAUAAAUCUCCUCCAGUUCCGGAACCACAUCCUCCGCCAGUUCCAGUCUAUAAGAAACCACAUCCACCUCCAGUUCCAGUAUACAAGAAACCAUGUCCUCCCCCAGUUCCAGUCUAUAAAUCUCCUCCAGUUCCGGAACCACAUCCUCCGCCAGUUCCAGUCCAUAAGCCUCCUCCAGUUCCGGUAUACAAGAAAAGAGUCCCUCCUCCGGUUCCAAUCUACAAGCCCCCUCCAGUUCCUGUAUACAACAAACCACUACCUCCCCCGGUUCCAGUGUAUACGAAGCCACUUCCACCACCUGUUCCAACCUACAAACCAAAACCCCUCCCUCCCAUUCCUUACAAGCCACUCCCUCCACUUCCCAAGAUCCCUCCAUUCCCUAAGAAGCCAUGCCCUCCCCUUCCUAAGCUACCUCCUCUUCCCAAGAUUCCUCCCAAGUAUUUCCACCACCACCCUCCCCUUCCUAAGCUACCUCCUCUCCCUAAGAUUCCUCCCAAGUAUUUCCACCACCAUCCCAAGUUCGGAAAAUGGCCUUCUUUGCCACCCUUUGCUCCCCAUCAUCCUUAAGCUAUCUUGCAUUGUUUUACGCAUUUAAUGAAGGUGGUUAGUGUGAACAAGUUCCCCAGCAGUACCUCAUGCAAUAAAUGUAGCAACAAAAG
rnacentral:lncRNA from 1 species